rnacentral:lncRNA from 1 species
CCUUCUUGCCUGCAGUGGCCCUAUGGUCACCAAAUACUUGAACAUCUAGCUUGCUUACAUUCUCAGCUACAAGACCAACAUCGAGAAUCUGUUGAAGCAAGUGAAGAAGCUCAAGGCCGCAAGAGACAUGGUGCGGUGCGCCAAGCUGCCGAAGACGCCAAACAGAGGGGCCAAGUUGCAAUCAGAGCUGAAGUUGAGAAAUGGCUGACCAGUGUGGACAAGCUCACCGAAGAGGUGACCAAAUUCUUCGAGUACAAAGGUGAUGCCAACGACGGCUGGUUUCGUUGGUUCUAUGGUUUGUUGAUGUCGCGAUACCAGUUGAGCAAGAAGGCAAACAAGAUGAUAGAGCGUCUUGUUCAACUCCAGGCCGAUGGAGCCUUUCUAAUGAAUUAGUUAGUAACUUAGUAUAAGUUGCUUGUGAUUUUAACUUGUUUCUUCAGCACUUGUAUGUUUUGUAACAAUUGAAUGAUGUCUCUGUGUUUAUGAAAUAAUUUGCGUAUUGAUCGAUUUAAAAAAAAAAGAAGAAGAAGAAAAUAUCAUACAAGUUUGAUCUCCAUUAAUGGAGAUUAGGGCUUUGCCUUUCUCAUAAUUUUUUGCCAAAGGCUUUCUUUGAAUUUUCCUGAUGAAAUGCCAAUACUCCAUCUUAUGAGCAAGCACUCUCCUAACCAUUUAAUUUUUUCCAUUAUUGUCUUGUAUGCCUGCUCAAACAAUCUAAAAUCAUGAACUGCUGAAGUCGAUCGAGAUCUCAAUGCCCUUAAUGCAUGGCAGCCUUCCACUAGGCUCAGCUCAGCUUUGAUACUUCAUACUUGAAGGCACAUACUAAUGAUACUAAACAGCUCAUUUCUAUUUUCAGGUGUCUAGGCCUAAGCCCAAGGAUGAAGCAUUAGUUUUUCAAUUUUGAUAAUAAUAAUUGCAAAGUGCAAUGCUAAUUAGUCCUAAAUCUUUAAUUAGCUAGAGCAUUGACAUUUGUAGGAGGAACAAGGAUGAGACAAGAGCAGCAGAGUCUGAAACCCAAUCGGACUACAAAGUUGGAAGAGUAUUGAACUACUGAUCUAGCUUCCAAUGACCUGUCCUUGACAAUAUUUUACUUGGAACGUAUCCCAUCUGCUAGCUAGAUCGAAGCCAAAAUUCAAAUGAGUCGAACACUUGACAAUUGGCAUGAUUAUUAUAUCAGCCAAAGGGUCCUGCAAAUUAAUAACCAGAAACAUGCAUGCAUGUGGAGUUUUACACAAGACAACUAGACAAGGAUGGUGAAACCCCCAAUGAAAUGCAGAAAAAUUUGACAUCUCUAGCAGGGUUUCUGGUUUAAUUGCAAUUUUAAAGUUCCAGUAGGCUAUUGCAAUUGCAUUCAUUUAAGAAUGGGAUCCUUAAGAUCGAUGAGGAGGCAAAUGCAAACGACGGAUCCCUUAAUGGAUUCUCACUUAAUUUGGAGUUGAAACUUGUCGUAUUGCAUAGGAUGCCAAAUUUCCAAUGGGGAUAUCUUCUAAACUAGUUCCAAUUGGGGUGAGGUAGCCUAUUCCAAGACCGAGCAUUACUAUAAGGCCUCCUUGCAUAGAUCGAUAAUGCAAACUAAGAGUUCAAGCUUCUGUCAUGUUCCACAUAUCCAAACACAUAAACAUGAAAAACUCAGACCCAAUCAACAUUUCAUAAUUAAGAUACAAUCCGUAACUUAUUGCUUUGGUUGCUAUAAAAUAUCCAAGAUCUCAUUUCUAGUCUUUACCAUACUUGUUUUGUUUCUAUUAUUAAAAUUCAACAUUCAACAUCCACCUGCUUAAAAUUUUCAAUGGGGAAAGCAACAGUUUUGUAUAAGCCUAAUAAUGCACCGAAAUGAAACCAAAAAAGUCUCCAUCUUCAGAAAACUAUGAGCAAACCAGAUUUUGUCGACUUGCAGCUUAGCCAUGGUCAUCCUCUUACUUAGGGACCAUAAAGAAAUGGACAAAGGCUCUUCCAGUCAAUUUCAUAUCAGCAAUGCCCGCCGCUCUUUAUUUUUUUGAUACAAGUUGUAGAAAAAGAAGGCUAAACUGAAAUAUAUCGACAUUGAUGUAAAAAUCCCACACAAAUUUAAAAGAGAAAUUACACACUGAUCUGUAUAGUCUCCUUUUUCCUAAUUUCUAUACCUAUUUCAGGCGGUUUCAAAAAAAAAAAAAGAAGAAGAAGAAGAAGUACAUGUAUGCAUUCGUCUACGAUCUUCCAUUGGUUUGGUUAUGGCCAUUGGUGACACCAUUUCGUGCCAUGGCCAUUUCAGUCUCAGCAGCUUUAUCUGCCUCCUCUCGGAACUUCUUGUAUAUAUCACUCUGGUAAAACUUCCUUGUCCUCAUCACUAAAAUCAAUGAAACCAAUGCCCCAAAAAAUGUGGCAGCUGUGAUUAUAAUGAAGGACAACUUGAAGCACUCUCCACCAAGACAAGUCAACUCCUCGUCUUUAUUCCUCUCGAGCCCUUUGGCCACCAAUUGCUUCAUCGCCUCCUUAUCGUAUACAUGACCGGUGAGUUUCACGUUGAGCAAGUACAAGCCGACGGGACUCGCGGCUGAACCAAAAUUGUACAAAGUCGAGUAGUACUUGAGCCCGAAGAGCUCAGAAAUUAUGGCGAAGAGCAAAGGCCAUUGAGCGCCGAAGCAAAACCCUAUUAUGACCGAGGCUAGGUAGAGACCAUUUUUAACAUUGAAGGCAAUGAGGAGGUGACCAAAGCAAGAGACAAAGAGGGUUAGGGUUAGAAUGAGAGGACGAGGGAACUUGUAUCGUUUUAGUAAAAAUUCCGAGACGAAUCCGGCGACGACUCUACCGAGAUAAUUCCAUAUGCUGACCAGGCCGACGAAAGUUUUCCUGCUGCGUGUGGGAUAUCCCAACGAAGUGCCAAUCUGACCCAAGUUGUCAAUUGCUGUCAAUGUGCCCCCAACACCACAUAUGCACGCCAUGAAUAGUAUGAGCAUGUCAAUGCUGAAUAGGGCUUGAAGAAUAGUGUAGUCUUCUCCUCUAUUUGGUGGCCUAAAACAAGUUUUCCAACAAGAUUGGCUAGGUUGUUCCUCUGUGGACUCAGGAGUUUCAUAUGUGACCGGCUCCUUUGACACCUCUAAUUGUUCUUCCGUGGGAACGACUGGCUUUUCCGUCACUAUUUUGACGUCACCAUUCAUCUCGAGCUGUUUUCUCUCCCAAAGCUUGUACUCCUCGAUUACAACAACAACAACGGGAAGAGCGAGCAAGAAGAGCACCAUCGCCGUGCUGGCGCCGUACUCUUGUUGAGUAAAGUUCACCCUAUUCUCUACUAUGAUCAUGAUCAUCAGAAAUCCGGCGAGGCCGAGAGAGAUGUACAACAUGUUGUAGAACACCUGGACCUCGUUGCUUUGUCUAAUCACCUUCAUGAUCCUAAUAGUCCUCAGAAAAGCGAACGAGAUCGCCGCCGGAAGCCACCCGAUGAGCAGAAUCAAGGCCCUGGUGUCGUUGUAGUAGAAAGCAAAGUACAUCUGCGUGAUGAUAGCGCCACUGAGGCCGACGUAGCCCUUGAGAAGCCCUAAAACGACGCCGCGGCUCUCGGGGAAGUUCUUGACGCAGGUGACCAGCGAGCCAGUGUUGGCGAACGACUGAGAAUUGGCGCCGAUGCAAAUGUACAAGCACAUCUGCCAGACUUUUGGUCUCGCGAUUUUUUUGGUGACGGAGAGCCAGAUCAUUAGGUAUCCUAAGAAGUUGAGGACGGCGCCGACCAGCAGGACCACCCACGGCGGCGUGACCUCGUUGAGGAGGCCGGAGAGGAUGCCGACGUUGGAUCCAAAAUCUUUGAAGAAGCUGAGGAGGUUGAGUGUAGAUUGGUCGUAGGCUAGAGCUGUCUUGAUGUCGGGAGAGUAGAGGCCGAACAUGUAGGUGGCGCCGGCGGCGGACAUGAUUAAGAGACAUGCAAAGACCAUGAACCACCGGCCGUUGAGGACCUGGAGGGUCAGGCUUUUGGUGUCGGCCCAUCCUCGAGGACCGGAACCCGCCAUGGCUGGAUUGAUAUAUGUAUCUAGCUAGCUAGGUUGAACCAGAGAGAGCUGUAAGCAAACUUUGGUGUGGAGUAGAGAGAAAUGUAGGAGGAAUAUAUAGAGGAAGUCACACAAAGAGAGCAAGUGACAGAGAAAGAAGAAGAUAUAGUGUCACACCAAGACUUGGUUGACUACGUUUAUAAAUGGAGUAAAUGGGAGGAGUAAAUAACUGAGGAACAAGAUAGGAACGAUAAUCCGAUCCCCUAAUAUAUAUUUCAUCUUAUCCAGAGGAAAACUAAUGUGGGGAAAUUAAAGAGUGAAUUUCUUUAAUUUGGAAUCUUCAGCUUCAGCUGACAGUUAAGUGUUCCCUGCUCAUAUUACGCCACCAUUUUGGACAAAGUCUACUAUACGUACUUAUCCAAAAUGAAUAAAUAGAGAUUAAUUUUUUUUUUUUAAAAAGACGGAUAAAUAUCCUAGCACCAAAAUUUUGAUUAAAUAAAUAUUUAGAUACUUUCUUUCUAAAGAGCAUGUGCGGGUAUUUUUUUUAUAUUAAUAUUAUGGCUACUAUCAAUAUGUAAUAUUUCAUUUUUAUUACCUAAUAAAUAAAGUUCAUUAAUGUCAUUGAUUCACCCUUUAAAAUCUAAAAGGAAAGCUUCUUGAGUCUUCUUCUCUUGUGGAGGUUCUGGUAACCUAUAAAAGGAAAGCUGGACGUCCGAUUGGAAGUAAGAAGCCGCGACAAAACAAUAAGUCUGUCAUACCUCCGCAAAGCAUUCCUGUCACUUGGGAGGUUGGUACGUGCUCUUCUGAUAAGGGCAAAGGUAAGGCUUGAGCUGUUGGGUGUCCAAAUCCGGGGUGCCCAAAGUAGUUGGGCUUGGGUUCUUUUUGGGCCUGUGCUCGAUCCUUUGGGCCCCUAGGUUUGUUUGGUCCCGCAGUUUACCUAGCAUCUCAAUUUUAAUUUUUGAUAUUUAAUUCUUGGUAACUCUAGUUGUACACUAAUUGCGGUCUCUAAGCGACUAGUUUUACUUCCAAUGAAAGUUAGAUAGACACUUUGAAAUUCGGGUGUGUACGUAGGCAUAAUAAGUGAGCUUAUAUAUAUGCAGUGAGGGCUACCUAUCAGUUAGUCUGUUAGCUUGGGUUGAAUUCAAUAUUUGGCACAAGACGUUAGUUGAUGUAAGUGUUUUUUUGCCGUGGAUAAAUAAUAAAAUUAUUUAUUUAAAAAAAAAUCUAAAAGGAAAUAGAAAGGGUAGAAUUGAUAAUGCAAUAUUAUGAUUUAGAAAAAUAUAUUAUAUGGAAUUGAAAAUAAAUAUUUUUAUUUAUAUGACAUAAUAUAUAAGAUUAAAGCCACAAAUUUUAGGUCUCACCCCCUCAUAAUAUCAACGCCCUUAUUAUGUAUGACUCAAUAACUUAUUACUUUCUCACCUUUUUUUUUUCUUUGAUACGUACGUAGUUUUCUUGAAUUUCUUCCAAUACAUCAACAUGAUUAAUUCGUUUUUAUUGUUUUGGAUGAAGGUUUAACCAAGAUAACUACAAAGCCUAAGGAGCUGGGGUCCAUGCAUCUCGCCUUAUUCUAAAGGGUAGGAAGUGGCUGUUGAAGAUGCUCGAGGAGGAUGGUUUGCUAGAGGAGGUAAAUCCCUCUACUGAUUCUUCAGAAGCAAUGGAAGUGGUUGGCAAAGAGGUAACUCUGCCUCCAAAGAAGAAGCUUUCAACUGAAGUUGCUACAGUACAUGGAGAUGAAAAAGGCGGUAGUUAAAGUGGUGAACUCCACUUCGAUUAUUACAUCUGCUUGAUCGGGAGAUCGACAAGAAAAAUAAGAAUUAUGUUGACACAGUUUAUAACACUUCGGAGUUUUUAAUCUCUUUGUUUUUGGUUUUAUCUUCGUAGAAGGUGAGUGUAUUUGGAUUUAGCUAGGAUAGUUUGUGUGAGAAGCGUAUUAUGGGCAUGUCGUUAUUUGUAUUGUUUAUUGAGAUUCAUUAAUGAAUAACCUCUCUUUACCAAAAAAAAAAAAAAACGUCACAACAAUGGAAUCACGAGCGAGUUAAUUGGAGCAUCAGAUCGUACUUUUCUAUCAUCUAUGAUCACUCACAAUAUCAAAUUCCACAACGUUGAAAUUUCAUAAGAAAUGGGAACUUGUAGUACGUGUCUCUACGUACUUGCCUCAUAUGGUUACUUGCCCCUACUUGCUUUCUCUCAACAAAUAUUGUCAUACUAGUCCUCUCUUUUUUCUUUUUUUUUAUCACGUUUGAAUAUCCAGCAUUUAACCGUCCAAAAAUAAAAAUAAUCUUAAAAAUUUAUUAAGUACGUUUUAUCUAAAUUAAGUGUCUUUCUAGUAACUUUCGUUGAUGAUGAGAUUGAAUAUUAACAUGCACUCUAUGAUCACAUCUUGCUGAUUCAAGUGAAAAAUUUAGUAAAUCAACAAUCUGUUCGAUCGGUUAUAAUUAGUACUACAUAAAACAACAGUGAUUGAUUCGAUAAUAAAUCCCCUUAUCUUGAUGCCUUAUACAUAAGAAAUAAUUGGAGUAGUAGUUUAAUAUAUGAAUUCGUCAAUGUAGGUGCUGGAUAUUUCUCUAGAGCAGUUCGCAAAUGGUGAUGCAUGCUUGACGCGGAGCUAGCUCGAUCGCAAGUAGCUGGGAACACAAUACUGGAAUUUUCAAAGUCAUGCAGUAGCUUUGACUAUGAAGAUCAUGACUGAUGGAUCCGAUCGCCCCUCAUAAUAUCAGCAAUUUAUUCAUUUGUGUAAUACAAAGUCGGUCGGAAAUGUCUGGUACAAGAGCAAUCAAUAGCUUUGAGGAAAUAGUACAUCUUCAAAUAUGUGGCUAAGCCCUGCCCAUUGAUUUCUGAUCGAUUGUUCAUACGGAUGUCGAUCGAUGACAAUAUGUUGAGUGGCUAUAUAUUAAUUAGUGUUGUCUUGUUAAUUACCAAUUUUGUUCUUCUUCAAAUCAUCGUAAGAUAAAGUAUCUCGCUGGAUCAUUAUCGACAAAAUAUAAAGUCUUUAAUAUAUAAAGAGUAUUAGUUUGUUAAAUCUAUAUGUCAGUUCAAAUAUUGGUGAACAACAACAGAUCGACAACUAGAUCAUGAUCGAUCACGCUAGUUGGAUAUCAGAGUUUCGAAUGUGUGAUUCCCUUAAUUAAAAUCUUGCGAGAGUGCAAAGUACCUGAAACUCUGGUCACAUUUGUUUCGCCUUCCUUUCAUUCUUUCCAUCGUUCAUACAUUAAUCUUAUCAAUUUGUGCUCCACUACCCAACAAACAAUACAGCCUUCGUGUUUGUGUGCCUGGUAAUAUAUAAUGAAGAACUACAAUGCAUGUAUACACGGAUAUCGGAACUCCAAAUGAUCCUAAAUGAUUAAUUUUUUGCCAUCAUUUGUAAGGUCUUUAUCAUAUCGUGCGUGAUUGAAAGUCGUAUAUAUUCCCCCAAUUAGGGUUUGGAGUUAGCAAUUUAAAUUUAAAGAAAGAACAUUAGUUUGCAUCAAUACCAUUUAGUCUAGUGGUAUUAGUCUUCUAUUUGUAAGUAUGAGGUGCUAGACUCAUUGUAGCAUUUCAGUUAUUUGUUUGAUAAAAGAAAAAACAUUAGUUAAUUAAUCUAUAAUUAAUUUGGAGUUGAUUAAUCAAGAAUAAUUCAUGAUUUUAAUAAAUAAAUAUUUAAAUUCCUCUCUAACUUUAUGUAUCAAAUUUGAACGUUGGGAUAUGCCAUCACCUUGCUUGUACCAAACAAUCUUCUAUCUUAGUUUUAGUCAUUGCCAAACUCUGUCAGGUGUUAAUAAGGGAAUCAGAUCCUACGCCAUUCCCAUAUUAUAACCUUGAUCUGAUCAAAAACUCAAAUGUGAUCCAUUUUAAUAUGAAAUUCACACCCUGUCCCAUGUGUAACUCAUAAGUGCUCUUGCAAUAUAUUCGUGAAAAAUAACGACUUCAUGUUAUAUAUAUAUAUAUUGACCUAUCGCUACCUAGUGUGUAAGUUGUAUAGCAAUUAGCAUUUCAUUCUUUAAUUAUAAAUCAUUAAUUGGUCACUUUCUUCGAAAUUGGCAAUGGCAUUUCUAUUUGCUUAAUUGCUUGCUAUGUGAACUAAUCCUUAUCAUGCAUAGUGUGAUUAGCUAAUUAAAUAAAGAGUGCAUUGUUAAUUACAAUAACUGAUAAGCCAGCUUCAUAAGAAACAAAGUAUGAAUGAUAAGCUUUCAAUCAGUAUCAUUAACGUCUUAAAAGAAUGCGUUAGAUUGGAUUCUUAUGUUUUUGAUAUCGUUUAUUCAAACUUGCUGAAGGGCCAGCCUUUGCCGCACAGAUCGAACUUCUUCUAAUUGUAUUCUAAUUAGUUGAUUAGUCGUCUAUAGAUGUUCAUGUCAAAUUCGUAUAUACCUGAUAUGAACGCUCACAAUUGACCAGUUUGUUUCGUAAUCCAUUUUGUUAAGCUUAUUAGCACACACUCGAGUGAGGCAUCCAAAAUCUAUUUUCUUUAAUUUCCUUGCUCAAGUACGUAGACGAUUUGAUAUACUCCAAAUUACUCCAAUUAGUUUGUAACAGACUGUGGUCAAUGAAAUUCGCGUUUUUGGACAUUUGUAGUGAAAUUUUAGUUUUUUUCAUUCUUAUUUUACCAAACAAUGUGUCAUUCUCAAAUGACUUAUCUAAUAGUACUCACUAAUUGUUAGAUACUAUUGUAUUUGAAAAUACGAUUCUCGAUCAUUCACAAUUUGACAACUCAACAUAUGAACCGUAAGUAUAUACUCUUUUGUACUACUAACCCGACCUCGUUAAAUACUAGUUAUAUACCCGAACACAUGCUUGUAAGUGUGACGACUUUUUCGAUCGGUCCAGUCAGUACGUAGCCCUCAUAAGUUGUCAUUUACGAACAAAGCAUAGUUGAAUAUUGAGCAGACUACCCGUCACCAAUUUCUCAUACCAUAUUUGAUAUAUCCAUCCAUACAAGCCAAACCAGAGAAUUCAUACCGGUGAAAGCUACAACAUUACCUAUUCUAUACAUGGAAUCAUAUAUAGUACUAUUUUCCUCAGUACUCAUUCGUUUGGGGUCAAUGCCGCUGUUCAUACGCAAAGAGCAGCCACACGUAUACUUGCACAGAAACUUUGGAUAGAGGUUUGGUAUUCUUCUCGAGCUUGAUAUGUUGACGAUUCGAAAGAAGCGAAAGAUUUCCUGGUUGCUCUCUGUCUAUUUAUAUAAGAUCAACUCAGCUGGCUAGUCAACUCCCUUGAACAUCCGGCAUUGUAGUUUUCUGUGCUUUUGGAAAUAUGUUGAACUGAGCCACAAAGCGAUUCUGAUCUCUCUGUUUUUCGCCUUCGUAAAGUAGGCAGAGACCAAGUGUUUACACAGUGAAAGGGAAGAAAGAAAAGUCUUAAACCACAUGUUUAUGAUUCUAAUUAACUUAAUCUAUAAUCUUCAAAAUUCUGGAGCUAGACAGAUUCGCUUCCUUGUAUGCAGUUCUUUUGUUUUUGUUUUCCGAUAGUGGGUGUCAUUUCCAGCACUGAAAGGUUCUAGUUGAUGACAUCUUAAUCCAGAUCAUCAGAUUAUGUUUCUUUCAUAGAUAGAACUUAGAAGCUUCAUAUUUGACUUUGGAAAUAGGCCCUAAAAGAGCCUCAAUUUCAGACUUCGCUAGUCUUCUGGUUUUACUUGUAAAGUAGAAAGCUGCUUGAUGCUUUUCUCAGAUUCCUCUCCUAGCCGCAACAGUGACUGGGAAUUUUGACCCAUCUUGGAAUACAGAGCCCCUUGCGAAGCAGCUCCGCUCAUGAGUCCUUUCAUCCAUCUCGAAGACUCAAGAGAGAUAACUAGUCUGAAAAGAUCUAUCAUUAACAAGUUCACAAUCCCAUUGAGACAUUCCACAUGGAACUCAACAAACUUGUAUACUAGCUCUGCGGUAAGAACACGAGGGGAGAUAAUCUGGCCAAACAAUGAGUGUGGACUUUGUUAUGGUUUGGUAUCCCACAGUAGAACCAUCCAGCACGACUGAGUUAAGAAACAAAGUAAUGUUUGGACUCAAAGCACGUACUGCAGAGAGCCACAUAUGUUCCAAUAACUCCGUUUCAUCACAGUAUGCUUACACAAGGUCUAGAGACUUAUAGUUGGGGGUAUAGAAUUUCUACUACCAAAAAGACUAAAGAGAUGAAAAGAUGAACACAAACAAAUACUAAUUUUCAACAACAGGUCUAUUUUUCCAAUUAGAAUUACCCUAAUCUCUCAUGUUCCUUUAUUUCUUUGUCAACAAAAGAAUUAAAGGAUAGAAAGAGAGAGGGUUACAAGUAAUACUCAAACAAGUAACUAGUAAACGAUAGUAAUGCAUAAAAGUCCUCCUACGCAAAUUUACUUUCAACAUCCCACAGCAAGAAUCUAAAAAUCGUACACAUAACAGCUACAAGUUCAAUGAAAACUGACAAUCCCACUUUUAGACAUUAGUAGCGGUCAAAAGAAGAUGGGCGGCCUCCCCUGCUAGGGCGGUCGUAAGGGCCAGCCCUGCUACGGUAACCUCCCUCAUCUCUUGCUGGACCUCCUCUUCCAUAUCUAUCACUGCCACCUCUCACUCCACCAUCCCUGUCAUAGCCUCUGUCUUUUCCAUAGCCAUUUUGGGGGUAACGAUCAGAACCACCAUAUCUGUCACUAGCGAAACGAUCACCAGCUGGGUACCUGGAGAGAAUAAGUGCAGAAAGUACAGCAUAAGUGCAACUGUAUAAUUAAUUUUUUUUUUUCUCCCAUCACAUGUACAUAAAACAAAAUGUUUUAUUUAAGCAUUAAAGAAUAUAAAAGGGGGUCUGAAUGCACGCAACUCAAGUCUAUAAGCUAUAACCAUACAUAACGACAGAAUGGAACAAGUAGUGGAGAAGUAAUUGAUACCUGUCACUGACAUAGCGAUCACGGCUCCCAUAUUUGUCCUCCCUGCUGUCAAAACGAUCCCUAUCUCCAUAGCGCCCUCCAUCAUAACGGUCAUCCAUGUAGCGAUCAUGAUCUCCACCAAAGCGAUCCACACGCCCACCUCCCCCAAACCUAGAAUGUGAAGAGAAUGAACCUCCCCCUCCACCUCUUCCACCACCAGCAGAUGGGCAGUCUCGAGCCCAAUGUCCUGUACGCCCACACUUGAAGCAUUCAUCUUGGCCCACAGAUCUAUCACCACCUCCUCCAUAGCUUCUCCUGCCACCAGAAGAGUAUCCUCCCCCUCCUCCUCCUCCUCUAUAGCCAUGAUCAGAAUCUUCACCUCCCAUCCUGGGUUGGGCUUUGUUCACAGAGAUAGUGCGGGAACCCAAUUCCUGUCCAUGCAUCUCCCGGAUUGCAUCUUCCAUUGCUCGUCGAUCUCCAAAUGUGAUAAAACCAAAACCACGAGGACGCUUUGUAUCUCUUUCCAGCAUGAUCUGCAGAAAUUCUACAUUAGAGUGAUCAUACCCAGCGUCUACAUAAACAAAAAAAUUAGAGUGAUUUCUUCUCAACACAAUGAUACUUGCAAGAUUUGCAAGUUAGACAGAAAGAGCAUCAAACAACAAAAAUUAAGGAUGCAUUGCAUUAGACAUGUAUGACUCCACCACUCGGAAAAUUAAGGAUUCAUUGCAUUAUAAUAUGCAUUAUAAUUGCAUUCUACUAAUUCGAAGUAUCAAUAUGUAUAAUGUGAUACCACUGAACUGACAAAUGUGUUUCAAAGCAUGAUAAAUAAUGAGAAUACAAUUCAUAUAAUAUAUAAAUAGGAUAGAACAUUGCAAGUAGGGCAUGAUCCGGUUUAACUGAGAAUCUGAGAUUAACAAGCAAUUGAAACUAAACCCACACCGUAAACACACAUCUAAGAGAGGACAGGCAUUAUAAAUUAGACCAAUCAAGCAAUGAGUGAUUCAGAAUAUAUUUUAUCGUGCGAGUGACUAACUAAAGAACAAUAAAAUUGGAGACGCAAUAGGGAUUGUACCUAAAAUACGUUUUGCAACAAUCUAACUGGUAAUUAAAAAUGAGUUUAUACUUACUUUCCUUUUAUAAAUAUGGAUAACAGAGCACCAUUUCAUACUGGAAUAUUUCUGAUACUAGAAGAAUCCACAUCUGACAACAGAUGACCACUGACCUCGAAUUCCCACAACAUCAAAUGUACUGGUUCCAGCAUAAACUGUUCCAGCAUAAAUGCAUAUAGUCUCUACGCCCAGAACACUAUCACUUACACCAGCAGUUACAUCGACACCCCAAACAUCUGUCUUGUAGUCACAAAACCAAUAUUCUUCUGGCAAAGCUACACAGAUCAGCCAGAAAAAGGCAGCUCUUGCAGCAGUUGAUCUUUAAACUAUUCAAAAUUAACAACUUAUAAAUACAUCUAGUUACCCACGGCAGACAUCUCUACUCUGCAUACUAUGACCAACGUGUUCCAUAACUACAUGGCUCCAUCAGUCUUUCAACAAGUCAGAAACAGUAACCAAAACAUUCAUAAACAAGCAAGAUACUCUGUCCAAGAUAAUGCUGAUUCUCUUUCCAUCAACUAACCCUGAUAUAGUCAACACCUGAAAUCAUAUUUGUGUUUCUGGCUUUUUUGAUUUUUAGGAAAAUCCUACAAUUUUUAGUACUAUCAAAAAUUCGAACCCUCAGGUAUUAAGGAGUCUUAAAUCAAAGUUUCAACUAUAAAUACGCUAGAAACCAUCGAUAGAUAGUGAAGCAGUGAUGUUGCUGAGCUCAGACUUGUCCACACAAUAUGAUAAUCAAACAGAAUACUCCUUCUGACACUUUCAAAAGUGAAACUGAUCUGAAUGAUGACUCAAAAGACCAACAGACUGCAUUGCAAAAACGUGGUCAUAUGUGAACUUGCCAGACUGACAGUGUUGGAAGCCCCAGUGCUAAUGUCAAAAAAACUCUACAAGGUCUAGAUGAUCUUCAUUCCCCGCUAAACCAGCAUAAAUAGCUUAAUCAUCACAACAAAACAAUAAUAGCAGAUAAUAAGCAGUUCAAACAAAGUUCAAGUGCAAGGCUCAAAAGCAGCCCUAACUUCAAGUGUGCUCCUCAUUAGCAGAUGAGAGGAACCCAUUGUCAGCCAGAAACAGUUUAGAGUCACUAACCCAGACUAACCCCUCAAGCAUGAACUAACUAAAUCUGACACUUUGGAACCUCACCCAAUCAGUCAUCAGAAGUCUACUAUAUCUGAACAAAAAGUUAGCAAGAGACGACAAAAGCUUUGCGAUAUAGUAGCCACUAAGAAUCUGCCCACAUAACAGAUGAUUGAGUUGAAGUAGAUGACCCUCUGAAUUCUAUGAGAGCAGAAACAUGUGACAUGAAGGAGGAGGAGAAAUUAUCCGGCUCAAAGAUCUCUCAGAAGACAGACACAACCUUCACCGUCAUGUUUUGAAUCAAACCAACCAAAAAUAUUGGCAAGCUGAUAGAUAUAUGGGCCUUUGUUCUACUUAGAAAAAUAAAAUAAAAAAACUUCUUGCAGCAAAAGAACCAAAUCACUGGUUCAAGCAACAACCAUCUGAGGCUUCAGCACUCGAUGAAAAGAACCCAAAAACAGAAAGCAUAACUUCAGAGCAAGAAACUUCUCAUAUUUGACAUGUCAUCUGACUUGUCAUUUAGUCGUUUGAUCCUCUAAGCAAUACUUAUGGUCCAACUUCCCAACAUUACCACAGGACUUUCUUGUGGAACUCGCAUCUCUUCCAAGAGAUUAAACCUAAAAUUAGCUGCCUUGAACCAAACUCCACAAAUCGCGAGACCAUCUGCUAAUGUUUCUAUUUCCUGUCUUGAGAUCUGUAGUCCCAGCAGCUAUAAUCUACUACCAAAAACGACACACAGUCUGCAAACUCGAUGCGACCACUUAACAAAAACAGCUCUACGAAAUAUCCAUCAAUGCACGGCAUCAAAAGAUCAUAACUCCACAGAACAAGAAAACAAAAGAGCAUUAAUAUACAAAGAUAACAGCAAAGUAAAAUAAAGUAUCGUACAGAGAAUCAUCAAAACAGUAUCAAACACAUCUAUACAAUCUAUGUAGUGUACUAUAUCCAUACAAUCUCACUGCUCAAGAUCCCGAUACUACAACACCUUGCGUUUUGAACAGUAAAUUCACCAAAAUCAAAUCAAAAUUAAGCAUUUUACACUCCGAAAACCUUUGCAAGUCUCAAAUUUCAUUCCAACUUUAAAACCGAAAAUGUCAAAUUUUCUUUUUUGUUUCACAAAAUAGCACCGAAAUUCUCAAUCAAAGAAUCUAGCAGCAGAUCAAACGAGAGCCUCCAACUGAUUAACACAACCAAUCUUGAACCUUCUUUUACUAAAAUCCCUAAAUCGAACCCCGAAUUUCAGAAAGAAAUUUCAAAACCAGCAAAAAUUUUUCAUAAAGUUUUCAAGCAAAAGCAAAGAAGCUUCAACCUAUAAAGCGCAAGGCACACAAUUACAAGCGUCGGAGAACGAAUUGGGGGUUACCUGCGCUUCAUGGACUUUGCCAAAGCGAGCGAAGGCGCUCUCGAGCUCAUGCUCUGUGACUUCAUAGGCUAAACCUCCGACGAAGAUUCGGUACUCUUCUCUCCCGGCCAUCUCUCUCUUUCUCUCUUUCACUCUGUGUAUUUUGGUUUGUACCCAAACCCUAACCGCUUCGGCUUCUCUUUCUAUUGCCUCAGUCUUGCUUUGAAUUUCUUUUUCCCCUUUUCUUUUUCUAUUUAUUUACUUUGUAAAUUAGGAUAGGCCCCAAUUUUUGAGGUCCUUUUCACUUUAGUCCUCCAACUUUUGUUUUUUUUCUUUAGUGCUCCAAAAUAUUGUAAUUUUGUAGUAAGAGUUGUUAGAUUAGAUUUGAAUGAGACAUACAACUAAAUAUGACUAAUUUAAUGACUCAAUUAUAUAGUUUUAAUACUUCGGAGCACUGUGUAAUGUAAAGAAAAUCUCCAAAGCAACUAUAAAUCCCUCUAGAAUUUUGUGUCUUUUUGUAGAGAAUUGUAGUCUAAUAGUAAUUUUCUCUUCUCCAUCUUUGAUGUCAGGUCAAGUGACAAGUGUCGAGUUCGAAUCUCAGGGCGAAGCAAAGACAAGAAAGAGAAAAAAGAACUGAUCGAUCUUGAUUCAUUAUAGCAUUGGAGGAUGAAACAAUUGCAAAUAGUUACAGCUGUGAAAGAAUUACAUCAAUGGACAUACAUAAUUUACAGGGCUGUACAUGAAAUGGCACAGGUAUCAACAAGUGAUUGAAGUGUGAUCAACUUUCAGGCUUUUCAUCCCUACUUCUAUUGUUCUGAUAAAAGGGGGAGCCUAGUAACACUGCUACCACCACCCCCACCAGUUAGUGAUUUAGAGUUGGUCGAUUUUAUAGAACCGGAUUUUACAGGUUUUGAUGAACUCUUCUUGUUUAUCCUCAUGGGAAGAAUCUGCAACCUCGGAUUGCGCUUAGUGCCUGAAUUUUCAGCUGCCAACUGAUAACUUUCCACCAGUUCCAGCUGUCUAGCAAUUAUUUCGGAGCAUCUUGGAAGGAGCUCUACUGCCUCUCCACCAGGAAUUACAAUAUACUCGAUUGCAAGUCGAACCUCCUGACACAAACAAAAGGAAAUAUGUGGUACCAUUAAGCAGAUGAUAUAUGCUGACAGAUUCAAAAUCAGAAAUACUGAAAGCAAAUGUGGAGUUGCAUAGCGUACAACAGAGAGGACAAUUUCUCAGAAACUGCCGGUAGAGGUAUCCAUAGAAAAUACGUGGGAUGGGAAAGGAAAUGCACCUCCAAUGCAUCGAUCUCUUCUAAAGAUGGUUUUCUUUUGGGUGCAUCAUCUUCAAUUUCAAUGUCAAAGGAAUUAUUGACAAGCUGCUUUGGCAAAGAGCCAACUGAUUCCAUUUCAAGAAUCAUACGAACUGCCUUCACGAUUUGAGCCAUGGUAUUUGACUGCAAGAUAAACAUCAAAUAUGUGAGUGAGCCCCAGCAAGAUUACAGGCAUAUACAGAUACAAUACAUAGACACAGAAAGUCUAAACGGACAUUACCUUCAUGACAAAUACAGGCAACUGGUGAAAUUUUGCUACACUACGGAUCCAUGGGUUUUGCUUCAUUUCAGCACUUGAUGCUAUAAUUGCAUCUGCUGUUCCAAUAUCAUCAGAUACCUCAAUUUCAUCCUCAAGCCCCAUUACCUUUGCUACUUGCAGUAGGUCAGCUUCAAGGAUCUGCAAACAAACAAAAAUGAAGGGUCAAUUGAGAUCAUCUGCCUAGUCAGCAACUAUUGACAAUACAAGUUCUUAGGGGUUUUGGUCAAAUUACAUCCUUCAUGGGUGUAGAUUUCCAAUUAAAGCAGAAAGUGAACCAUGUGGAAACCAAGUAUUUUACCUUGUAUGUAUAUAUACACACUGGUGAACUUCUCUUCUUCGCAGAUUUAUCACUGCUCAAUCUUCUAGACACAUUGGGUGGAGGAUCUAGAUCUUCCUCGUCAGACUCCAAAACACUAGCAACUAUGUCUGUAGUAACAACAAAAUCUGAUGCUUUCAGAUAGUUGUGUUCAGAGAUUUGAGUAGGCAUGCAAGAGUCAUCAGCAUCAGCAUCAAUACGACGAACUUCAAACAAAGGAGAUUUCCCUAUAAGCCAGAAACCUUCAUAUCAGAUUAGGUGUUCCCUUACAACUACUCAAGUAAUAAGUACAGAUUCUAAAGGAGAAAAUGUGAAGUACCAGCUAGUAUAGCAUCAACUGUUGCAUCUAAUCUGUGAUGAACACGAAAUUCUGUUUUAGAUAUGAUCUCAACAGCACAUGUAAAUGUAGGAGGCCCCUUUCUUUCAAGAAUUGUCUUUUGAACUUUCCUCUUUCUCGCUUCUUCAUCUCCCAGGGUCACACUCUGCAAUUUACAUGAAGAAUUCCUUUAAUCUAUCAACAUUUCUUAUCCGGGAACUGCUUAAAUGGUAAUACCAAUAAUGAAUGAUCAUUGCACUGGAAAGGAUAAUUCAUACAAUAUGGCACCUUGCAGAAUUAAUGCCACUUUGUAUACCCUCUUUUAUUUGGUUAAUCACUUUGUACACUUACAAAAUGAUAAACUUGAUGCAUACCAGAAACACAAUUGAAAAAUGUAUAUAACUCCAAUUUGAAUGAAUAUAGAGUGGAUGGCAUUGUACCUCUAUGCCACCAACAAGGAUUUGUAAAGAAGGAUUCUUUAUGAUGUUGUCUAUUGUCAUUCCAUGUGCAGUUCCAACUAGUUGAACUCCUCUUUGGGCAAUAGUGCUGGCAGCCAAUGCUUCAAGCUCUGUCCCAAUUUCAUCUAUUAUAAUGGUUUGAGGCAUAUGAUUUUCAACUGCUUCAAUCAUAAUCUGCACAAAAGGAAAGGGCAAAAGAGAUUAUACAACCAAAUGAGUUGCAAAAGCGUAAUACUACUGGGGAACUAAAGCAACAGUGACAGAAAUGAGCCCUAUAAUCAAUGUCAACACUCACAUUAUGCUGCAUGUUGACAUUAGGAACUUGCAUCCUCCUUGCACGGCCUAUUCCUGCAUGCGGAACAUCUCCAUCUCCUCCAAUCUCAUUAGAUGUAUCCACUAUUACCACACGCUUCAUAUGCUCAUCUGCCAACAUUCUAGCAAUUUCUCUGCACCAACAACACAUCCAAACAAAAUUCAGAACAUCUUCGCUCUUUGAUUCCAGGUCACAGUAGGAAAACAUCAAAGUAGUACAUAUACCUGAUCAAGGUCGUCUUGCCAACUCCGGGAGGUCCUAUCACCAAGAUUGAACCUCCACCCUCAACCAAGUCGCGGAUGACCUCGGCACUCCCUGACACCGCUCUCCCCACCCGGCAAGUAAGUCCAAUGAUUUGCAGCUUUCGGUUUCGAAUAGCACUAAUACGAUGUAACGAGUUAUUAAUUCCAGAACGGUUAUCAUCCGAAAACUCACUAACCUGCAAACAAAACAAAAUUUCCAAAAUCGAAUAAGAAAACAUACCAAAAAAAAUAGUUCCAUCUUCAUCAAUCAACUUCUAAGUAAGCAUAUAAAAAGUUGCAGUCUUGUUUAAAUUGUUUAAAUAAAGUGAUUAGUUACCUACUAAAGAAUUAAACCAAUAAUUAACACCGCUAACCACCAAAAUGGCUUAAUUACUAUUUCUAGAGAACAAUUGUCACAGUCUUUUAUCACCUUAGAAACAGCGAGCCGGAGAUCUUCAUGGCUGACCGGAGUCUCCGAGAUCACCCAAUCACCGGUCGGAAACCUCGCGAUCGGAGGCCGCCCCAAAUCCAUCACAACCUCAAUGAGCUUCCCGAUCUCCUCAUGCCUGUACAGCUCGCUCUUCAUCCUCUCCGGCAGCAGCUCCAGAAACAUCUCCAUCUCCGUCCGCGACGUGGACGCCGAGCUCCCGGAACUCGAAGACGGAGAGUUACCGGAGAAGAACCGAUCCGAGGGGCGGCGAAUCUCCGGCGCCGGCGAGGUGGAGGAGUGUCGGGACGAAGCGAUUGACUUGUGCGCGCCACGUGUCCGACGAAAUGAGGAGGAGAGUUUGGAGGUGUGGAGAUAGCAGAGGGUGGAGAUGGGGAUUUGGUUGGCCGAGUGCCAUGAGGUCUGGAGAUCGAGUAGCACCAAUUGCGAGCUCAGAGCUCUCAUUCUGUUACAGACUGGGAUUUUGCUUUGAUAAUUUUUUUUUUUUUUUUUUAAGCUAACGAUCGGCGAGAAGAUUCGGGGGUAUCUCCACUGGGAUUGGAGCAUAUUUUGGAGGGAAGAUGGGGCCCACUAACCAAAGAAGUUCAUACACGUGGGGGCUGCUUCAACAGCCACACAAUUUUCCUCACCCUCCUUUUCAUUUUCAGACAAAAUAGAAUUCUCGAAAAUUUGUAUUUCUCUGUUCCUUGGUGUAUACGAUUGUGAAAAAUACACACUACACUGAGUACACGUAUAGAUUAGUCUGAUUCUGCUGAAAUAUUUUCAUGAAUCUCGAUGUAAAUAAUUAAAUACUGACGUGGUGGCUGUGUUGAUCAAGGAUAUAAUUGAAGUAGCUUGAUAUCUAAUUUUAACCCAAGUAGCUGAUAUCUAAUUUUAAGAAGAAAGAAAACAAGGAUGAAAAAGAAAAAAAUUGUAUGAAAGGCUGGAUGGCAAAUCCCAACACGCUUCCAGUCCUAUAGGAAUGGUCCGAAUGUGAGUAGGAGGAAAUUUUGUACUUAGUUGACGUUGGAAACUAUCAACUUGAACCAAACUAAAUGAACAUAAUUUCAGCCGUGCAAGGUUGGGGCAGGUCACUGACAAAGACGGCACCGCUGUGGCUGCUGACUAUUUCGGAAACUCAUACUAUGGUGGAAGAUCAAAGAGAGAAAGAAAUGCUAAGCAGUUGGCAUCUACUAAGAUGGCAAGUUCUAGGAGCAAUGCAAGUCAAGGUGGGAGGUAUGGGGGGUUAUGCAACUGAUAAACGGUCAUUUAUUUAUGCACAUUAUACGGUUUACACUUCAUACUCGGUUAGAGUAUUGCUGCAAUAUAGGCUUGAGGCUCAGAAACUACGCUGUACAUUGAUAAGGAUGGAAGCUGCUGACUAAAUUUGGCGCAAUCUAUUCCCAACCCAUCAGUAUAUUUCUUACACCUUCCUCGAUUUUGUUCCUUGGCACCGAAGGACAGAAUCCUUCAUCUAGCAGGAAUCUGUAGACCUCCCACUCCCGAUCUCGGAUCAUGUGUCUCACUAUCUCAGCCUGAAACAAGUUGGUAAAGAACACAAUGAAUGGUAGAAGGACGAAUUAUGUUGGAUAUCAAACCAAGAUGUAGGAUAUCACUGGAAUAAGACACUUAUAGUGGUGGUUAGAGCUAAUACCGAGAAGAUGCGUGUGCUCAGAUCUUUGAGGGCAAGAGUAAUGUCAUAAAAGACAAGAGGCCGGCCCCUGCCGGACAACUCAACCGGGUUUGCUACCAACAGCUCGGUGUCAGGGCCGCGGUUCACCACAGCCACACGAAGCGGACACAAAAGCUCCGCUCUCAAGCGAGAACACAAGGCAUCUUGCUUCUUGCUGUCAACAAUCUUCUUGCCAUCUGGUUGCACUACAAACAAGUCCAGCUCACAAUUCCCUUUUGUGUUCUCAUAGAAUCGUCCAUAAGAAACCUGAUAUUAAACCCAUAUUUUAUAUACAAUGGUCAGUAUUAUUCACUAAUAUGGUAAAUCACAACAACAACAAAGAGGAGGACUAAAUUGAAUUUUAUCAGCCAAAAAAGGCUAGAAGCACUGGCAUGAUACAAACCUUUUGCUCGCCAGAACUCACUACUGAUUAUAAAUAUAUCAAUUAUACCAACUUUACUUUACAUACAUCUCUCUAGUAUGAUUUUACCUGAACUCCUUGACCCAUGUAAAGUUUAUUGAAGUUUUAUUAGGAGAUUGAGAGCAUACAUCAAGCAUUUAACGUCAAACUAAUUAGUUUCUGCAUACUAACAUCUAUAUUAACAACAAUGACAUGUUUGAUGUGAGAAGGUAAAAUUGUGAACAGACCCUAAAAUUUUAUUUCUCCCCAAAAUUACAUAGCUUAAAAAAGAUGUACCUGAAGGUUGCAAUCCUUUAGUGUUCUCAUGAUGUCAUACACUAGACCUUUAUGAUCUGGACAGAAUAUUUGAACUAGUGUGUGAGAUGGGCUGAGGUUAUUGUCCACUGUUAUCGAAAUGGGAAUGGAGGCAAAAGGUCUUUUUAGGUGGCCGUUGGUCCACUCCAAACUUAACAUUUCUUCAGUGAUUUCAGAAGGAAGAUAAUGAGAACCCUGUGAACAUGCAGUAACUUUUGACUCGGCCAAUUCAAUUUCACAACCCAAUAAGACAUUCCCCAAGACAGCUUUCAGGCAAUGAAUUGUUUCAUCUUGCCGUCUUUUUGUAUGCAGCAGUUCUCUGAUUGAGAAAGAGAAAGAAUAUGAUUAGCCAUAUCUUAGGAGGAAAGAUGAAACAAUCUCAGAACUGACCCUCAACUGAUGUGCCCUCACACAGACACGAUGAUACACUAACACCUAGACCGGUAUAUAAUAAUUGCAAAAACAAGUUUAAAGAACCUAACUGAAAAUAUUUUGCAAACAAAAAUUGAAGGAACCAUGUUGAGGAUCUGUUUCUCUUUUACUCUAGAAUGAAACUUGAGAAGUAGAUAUACCAAAAAAAGAAAGAAAAGGAAAGGCAGAAAUGAUGCACCAUAUAUAGAUAGGGAAAUAAUGUCAAGAGUGACAAACCUGGUAUCUGUAACAAAAAAAAGGUCCAUCACUUUCCCAUCUGGGGUAGUAGACACCUUCACUCUCUCUAUUGUGAGUUCAAGCUCACAAAGAACCUUAGUGACAUCUAUUCAGUAAAAAGAAUCAAUAAUAAUCCCAAACUAAAAAUAUAUAGAAGUAUAGAUGGCACUUUUUUCUCAGAUAUAGAUACAUCGAAACAAGUAGGGUAUACCAGGUAAAGGAAAUGAAAGAAAAGACACAGAUAGAACCAUCACUUCUACAUUGAAGUUGCCAAAUGGAUAUGCACCUCAUUAUUCAUUCAACAUGACCCCUAGUUUGAUUUCUUUUCUCUAAAUGGGGAUAAUACAAUUACUGUACUCAUCUAUGCAUAAAAAUAGAUCACAAUGUUAAAGCUUUAAAUAGGCCAGUCUGAAGAAUAGUUUAUGAGUAACCUCAAUCAAUUUCAUAAAUUACUAAAUUUGGUAAAUUUUAGUUUAUACAUUAUGAGGGAAAUAAAAACUACUGAUAAAGCUUACAUCCUCGUAUACUGUUAUACAUAGAAAUCAAUUAUUUUCAGUCAGUACUCAGAUAUAGUCUAUAGUCUAUAUGAAGAACCCAAAUUGUCAUCAUUAUAAAGAUCACCGACUCUCUCUCUCUCUCUAUCAUCAUAACAAAAGAAGUGAUCUUUUCCAGCUCAAACUGUUACUAGGAUAGUUGCAUUGAAGAUUGAGAAAGUGUGAUGAAUCAUUUAGCAAGAGCAAACAACCGAAACAUUACUGUUAGAACCCAAAUGACAAAAUUCUCUAAGUCUUGUUCAUCUAAGUAAAAGUAAGCUGUGAAGAAUCAAUUCAGAGUGAACAAGUAAUCAUGCAAUGACAAUCUUGGAAAUGAAAGUUUACCAUGCAAUAGGCCUUCCUGUUCAUAAGAGCACCAGAAUUUCAAAAGGAACACAUCUAGUGGCUUCGGCUGCUGAUUCUCCGGCCGAUAAUAGUAUAUCCCAGAAGUGGUAAAGUAUGAUGGACACACUUCUAACAAUCUCUUUGUCAGCAAAUUCCACCUAGUCUCCGGCUUUCCCACCACCCAAAACACUAUGUAGCACCAUUUUCCGUCGGUCGAAACAUCUUCAACACAAAAGCAACAAAAAAUGUUCACUUUCAUCAAAACAGUAUUGAAUUCUACUAAUUUUCCACUACAAAUUCUAUGAUCCAUCAAGAAUGCCUUACUUUCUGCUUUACAACAAAAGAUCCUAAACUGAAGACUCAUUCUUUGUGUCUCUCUAAAGCUCGGAUCGACCAAUUAGUGUUUCAGCAAACUUCAAUAAAAUUCAUUACAUGCAUUCUCAAGAAUUUCAGAUCCAAAUAGUAAAAAACUUUUCAAUGUUCAAAACAAACCACACCACUUUCCCAGCUCAAAAUAAAAAACCACCUCCAGAAAAACCUCAAAUUACUCAGAAAAACAAAGCAAUCAAACCAAAAGCUUAAGAAAACCUCACCUCCUCUGCAAAUGCUCAGCCCAAACAACAAUAUGACCCUGCACAGAUCACAGCCUAACCCAGUUUUGUCGGGGCAAUUCACAGUGACCACAGUGGGAUCUCCAGCCUUCUCUCCCUGGCUAAUCACUACCACGUCCUCAUGCAAAAUGCCCAUUCCCGCCAAGUUCCUCUGUUUUUUUUUUUUUUUUGUUCUCUGUUUUCCGGUGACCAGAAAACUGAGCAAAAAGAUACCCAAGUUGGGUCUGGUGGGUAUCUUCCGAUUCUUGCUCUUGUUUUUUAAUGAGCAAAAUUAGUGGGAGAUUCCAAAUAAUAGAGGAAGAGUUUGAGAUCAGAUAGAAUCAUCCAGAUAGAAGAUAACAGAUGAUGGUUCUGUUUACUUAUGGAAUAUCAAUUUCUCAUAUUUAUCGGUGGGAGAGACUGAGUGAGAGACAGAGAUUAAAGUCUUCGAGACGUGGUGAGUAGGUGGACUCGAGUAUAGUUGAGACUGAUUUUCAAAGACAACUUUUUCGGUGUUGGUUUCCGACCGUCCUUAAUUUUCUGCUAUUUCAUGAAAACUAACAAAUAGAGUUUGGUGAAGUUCAAGUGGACCGGAAUCGUCCUACUAUAGGGGAACACCAUUAAUCAAUUUUGUUUUACAUGAUUUUGUUAUAAAUGAAAAAGAAUUAUGAUUAAUGAUACAGUCAUGAUUUAUUAGUAUAAAAUCUUAAAAAGGAAAUGGCCAUUAAGAAAUUUUUGGUUUCUAUAAAAAAAUAUGUCGACGGCAAGUCCCCUCAUCAUAUGUGGAAAUUGCGAAAUCGGUAGGUUAUUUAUGAUAUACAUACAUGGAGGAAGAUGCUACCGGUUCGUUGGGAGGUGGCAGAGAUAGAGAUCUAGUUUCAAUUAGUGUUGAAUGCCCUUUAUUGUUUCGAGUCAAGGUAUGAUAUUAGACUUACUAGUAGGUCAACAUAUUUAUGAGUUGACUGAAUUAUAAGCUGAUUUCAUGUCUAGUUACUCAUGUUGCUCUUAUGUCAAUACGGCUCAUGAUUCAAAAGUUCAUUAUAAGUAACGUUGCGAGCCUCCGUUGAGAAGCAAAAGAACCUAAGAAAAUUUUGAAUUCAUCGGUAUUUUAGAUAAAAUCUCAACAGUUCAUUUCUGACUAAUUUGGUGCUAAUCUCUUAUAGGGCUGAAUUCAGACGUUGCAUAAUGUGAUAUGUUGAAGUUUACGUAAGAAACUCGUAUGAAUGACUAUAAUGAAAAAUGCACAAAGGAGUACCAUAGUUCCCCAAAUGUAGACCAACAUUACGAAAAGGAAGGAAAACCUUCACCGAACACAUUUGAGAAAAGCACCUCACGCACAACUUGAUCUAGAGUGAGAAAUUGAAAAAUGUUGAAAAAUUAUUCUUGAUUCUAAUAUGCCAUUCUAGAAGCUCCAAAAGCUAGUGAGGUCAUGUAUGAUAUAACUUCGCAUGUAAAAAAAUCAGCUUUUUAUUCAAAAAAUUUAGAUUUUAUAGUGUUUAGCAAAUUAAUGAAAAUCAGCUUUAAAAUAAAUAAAUUACAUGUUAUUGCAAACGCUUUAAGAAACAAUCAGAAUGUUACUUUUAGAAGCUAUUGUCAAUAAAAACACUAAAAAAUAUUACAUUUUGUAUCUGCAUCAUUUUUAGAACUACUAUUACUAAACACAAACCAUUUUAAUUCAUAACUAAUUAUUUUCGUAGUACAACAACUACAUUUUUUCUACUUCUUAAAGUCGCAAUAACAAACUAACCUUGAUUUGAGUUCAAAUUUCCUUAUUUUCACUCAUCCGGGACUUAAAACGUGAAAUAUAAAUUACGUUAUAUGACAUGACACCGAUCCGUAAACGAGUCGCAAGAAACUAUCUGCUACACAUGUCUUUUUUUACAACAAACGGUCAUAAUUCGUAUGACAACUAAAGUUGUAUUGUGCUAAACUAACCCAUAUCUUAGCAAUUCAUGUCUUGUUAUCACACAAUAUAAGAAUGCAAAAAGUCAUAAAGAAACUAGAAAGUUUUGAACAAUUCUUCUACUCCCAUACUAAGCACUUUAGAGUUGUUUCAAAAUGUUUCGAUAGAGCGCGUCCUAGUGACCGACCCUAGCAGACUUGGAGGAGUAUGUUGUGGGAGGACAUAUAUUACAAUAUUGAAGUUCUUCCUAGAGAUGGAGCUCCAAAGACCCAUCUUCGUACCAGCAUCAAGGUUGUGUGAAUCAUCGACAUGAUUAGAAAAAUCCUCCUUAGUUGGAGUGCGGAGAUCGCUCUUCUUGCAGCGGUACACCGACGAAUCAACACAAUCAUGAGAUAUCUUUUGACGAAAGCCUGCAGCUUCUCACUUGGGAGGUUAGUAAACGAAAGCUUACUCUUAUGAGCCAUCCUCUUCUUCUCUCUUAUUCAUCCACUGAGAUUCUCUCUUCUUAAAUAACAAAAUUAUCAUUGAAAUAUCGGCGAUUUAAUCUUUACACAACAUGAGAAUAUCUAAAUAUUGCAAUAUUUGCGCGAAACUCACGAAAUCUUGUUAAUAAAUCAGCCCAUUUCUCUUUAUUGAGAAAUCGAAGAAGCUAUCCAAAAGGUUUUGCCAAGCCUACUCGUAUAUAUGGUCAUUAACUCGGCCCAAACUUAUGAAAUUAACACUAAAGUCUUGGCGUAGCGUAGGUAACAUGAUUCGAACCCAGGUUGUCACAUGUUAUAUCUCACAUUCUCAACCAAUCCUCUUAAGUCUUAAGAUACACUUAAUAGUCUAUUAUAUAAACUCUACAUAUAUUUUCACACUUUUAAACUUUCCUUUCGAAAUUUUAUUAAUAUCACUAUCAAAAUAUCUAUUUUUCUGACAGUCGAAAUUUUCUCGAAACGCGAUAUUUUAGUCCUUAAUUUGAUGCCUAAGCUACUUCGCUCCUCCAAACUGGGCCGGUGUUGGAUCAAACAAACAGAAACUUGAAAGGAGGAGAACGAUACAAGUCAUACAACUACGUUGAUUUUAAACAGAAACUUGAAAAGAGAACGAUACAACUACGUUGGUUUCUAACCCAAUGGAUGCCUAUGUUUGGGCCAAUAUUCCAUUUUCCUUUUUAAUAAUUUUUUUUCUUUCUAGCAGCUAGACAGCUAGUUAACCAAUUGUGAAGCUACACAACUAGGACUUGCAGCGGAAAACGACUACCACGCGUUGCAUGGAGAGGUUAGGUCCUGCAUGCAACUCCGCCGCCCGUAAAUCUCCUACUGACAGCUCUACCCCUCGAUUUGCAGAUACCGAUGUAUAACCCGAGGACAAAACGGUAAUCGUUGAUACUCCGAGCCGGACAUAAAACCAUCCAAGAACAAAGAAGAGAACCACCACCGGAAAAAUGGCCGGACCACCUCUACCUCCACCUCUUCUAACGUGUUUGGUGGGUGUUGCAGUCUUAAUCUGCGCACUAACCCUCUGUGUUGCCCUAGAUGUCAGCCCCCAAGACCCAAUCAUCCACCAAGUCACAGACCAUGAUACUAAUAAGCUCCUUGGAACCGAAAAAGAGUUCAAGAUUUUCAUGGAGAAGUAUGGGAAGAAGUACCCUACUAUGAAGGAGUACAUGCACCGCCUCGGUGUUUUUGCCAAGAACAUGAUCAGAGCCGCCGAGCACCAAGCUCUGGAUCCGACGGCGGUUCACGGCGUCACGCCGUUCUCGGAUCUGGAGGAGGAGGAGUUCAAGAGGAUGUACACCGGCGUAAGAGGUGCGCCCGGCUUAACCAACGGCGGAGGCGGUGCGGGAAGCACGGUUGAGCUUCUGGAUGUUAGCGGGUUGCCUGAGAGUUUUGAUUGGAGAGAAAAAGGAGCUGUUACUGAGGUCAAGAUGCAGGUAGUUAAUGUUACAGUUUCUAAUUUUCGUUUUUUUAUUAUUGUUUUUUUAGGUUGGUACUACACAAUAUAUGUGAUUAACAGUUUCGGACCGUACUUAAAUCCUAGCUUAUUGCAAAUCAAGUUAUGGCAAAUACGAUAUAGAAUUCUCGUAGCUGGUUGUAAAUUACUAAAUUGUGUAAUCUGAAGUCGAUCAGCUGAUCAGGUGCUGCUGGUUCUUUUGUUUAAUUGAUUGUAUAACUAGCUUGUGUUUGAGAGUUUGAAGUUUUGUACAGAAAGAUUUGUCUAAUGGAGCUAGGGUGUUUGUGGAACACGGAAUUUUUCUUCAGGCAAGGCGUUGUAUUGUGAUACUUAAAGCCUCUAAAUCUCUUGUUAUGGAUGCAGGGUGGCUGUGGGUCAUGCUGGGCCUUUAGCACAACAGGAGCUAUUGAAGGAGCCAAUUUCAUUGCCACUGGGAAGCUUGUUAGUCUCAGUGAACAGCAGCUUGUUGACUGUGAUCACCAGGUAAUUAAGCCUAGCCUCUCUGGAAUAUAUUGAAGUACUCAUUUAACUUUAGGGCGAUAAAAAUUUAAUUGAUUGAGCAUAUAUAUAAUAUUUGGCAUGCCUACUUAAUUAGUUUCGUUUAAUGUUUGUGGCAACUAUAAUCAAGUGUGAUGCAAAAGAGAAAGAUGCAUGUGAUCGUGGUUGUGGUGGCGGACUUAUGACAAAUGCCUACAAGUAUCUAAUGGAAAGCAGGAGGGGUUGCAAAGACGAGGUUUCAUACCCUAUACGGGGGAAAAAAGGGGCGAAAUGCAAAUUUAAUCCCUGAAAAAAGUAGCCGUGAGAGUAACCAAUUUCACCACUAUUCCCCUUGAUGAGAAUCAGAUUGCAGCGAACUUGGUCCACAAUGGUCCUCUUGCCAGUGAGUACUAAACCUGAUAAUAUGCUUAAAAAUAGCUAGGCUUUUUAUGUAUCUAUGUGUGCGUACAUAGAACUGCCUUAAGUGUCUUAUUUUCUGAAUAUGAUGUGCACUGUUUAGCAUAUUUAGAUCUGAGUGUAGAUACACCCCACUGAUACAGAAUCUUAAUUGAUGUAUGUAUGCGCAGUUGGCUUGAAUGCUAUGUUCAUGCAAACCUACAUUGGCGGUGUGUCAUGCCCUCUUGUUUGUUUCAAGAAAUGGGUGAACCACGGUGUUUUACUUGUUGGAUAUGGUGAGAGUGGCUUCUCGAUUCUCAGGCUCAGCAACAAGCCGUAUUGGAUCAUCAAGAAUUCAUGGAGCGCAAAAUGGGGAGAACAUGGUUAUUACCGACUUUGCCGAGGCCAUGGCAUGUGUGGGAUGAAUACUAUGGUGUCUGCAGUUGUGACCAGUACUCGGGCAUCCUAGCUGCAUCUCCCGAGAUUAGCUAGUAUACAAUUAUACACUAUAAUAUAUAUAUGCACCUCUCCCUUGUUUUUUCUUAAUCCGAAUUUGAUGUUCCUAUAAUCAUAUUUCAAGAAUAUUAUUGUUAAUAUGCCGAAGUGGAAAGUCUUGUUUACGUCAAAACCAAUUCGAACCAUAUUAUGUUAGCUUUAAAUGCUAGAUUGUCAGACUUCAAAUUUAAGUCGGGAAAAUUUUACAAUGUGUUAAUGUAUGUCAUGUAUUAAUUUUAUCCUAAAAUUGUAAAAUGAGUCUCUAAAAUAGUAAUAUUAGUACUCGAAGUUGUAAUAUAUAUGAGUAGUUGUAAAUUUUAUAGUUACAACAUUAGUCAUCAUGUGUCCUUAAUGUGUCUUUAAAGUAAAUUUUAUAGUUACAACAUUAGUUAUCAUGUGUACUUAAAGUGAUAAAUUGCGUGCUUAAAGUCGUAAUUGAAUCCUUAAAGUGAUUAAAAAAAGUUUUUAUAUCUUUGAGGAUUUGUAUUACAACUUUGAGGACUCAAUUACCAUUUUAAGGACACAUGAGGAUUAAUGUUGUAACUAAUUUUUUUUACAACUUUAAAGACUUAUAUUACAACUUUGAGGACUAGUUAAUAUUACUCCCGUAAAGACUCGAUCAUUUUAUAACUUGAGGACAAAGUUGAUGCAUCACAUGCAUUAACACACCAAAGUUGAUUCUCCACAAGCUUGUUGAAGAACUUGGUAGAAGUUUUGAUUUGUUGAAAGGCUUGAAGACGAGGGUUGAUCAAGGGCCGUAGAGGGUUGACGUUGAUCGAGUUUGGGCCACGAGCAGUUCCAUAUGGUGGUUGCUCUUCGUCUUGUAGUUGGUGAAGAUGUCUGCUAUUUAGCAAUUUGGGACUCUUUGGGAUUUGGCAACUUCUAAGCUUGAGAUUGAUGAAGAAUCGGCUAUUUGGCAACUUGAUGAUUCUUCAACGGUUUUGGGAGAAUUCUGAGUUCUCGGGAGUAAUUUUUUUCUCUUGUCCGGAAGUCCUUAUCUUGAUAUGAGAGGGGGUAUUUAUGGUGUCGAUGCUCCUCCGUAAAUAGAAUGCAUUAAAGUCACAACUUUAAUUGUAUUUCCUUAAUGAUAUAAUUAAAUCAAUCACUUUUGAUUGAUUGAUUCAAUUAUUCAAUUUACUAUAAUUAAAUCAAUCAAUCUUAAUUGAUCGAUUUAAUUAUGACCGAUAAGGUAUUUCACCAAUUUGAUUAAAUUCCGACUUCCUUUUCGAUAAUCGAUUUGAUUUGAUUGAUGUUUGAUUAUCGAUUGACAUUUAAUAUUUGAUUUUAGUCGGGAUUGAUGAUUUUGUUGUCGACCGACCAUUAUCAAGCCGCCAUGUGUUAUUUCCGAAGACUUUUCAACUUUGCUGACUCACGAGCCACGUAUGUAAUUUGUCAGGCCCAUGGGUUGUAUGAAUAAUUUAAUAAUUAUUAUUCUCAUUAAAUUUUAUGCGUCUACAAAUACCCCCACUUUAAGGUGUGUUGUAGUCAUGUUGUUGUCACGUGUCAGAGGUGCGACUUGAAGUUAUUUUUGAUGACACUUGUGGCGUGUUUUGCCAUCCACUCGUUUUUACGUCUGAAAUAUUGGUCCGUACCAUGAUGACAUUUUUGUUGCCUUUGAAAUUUGUAUUUUGAACGCUUGAGAAUCAUGCAUUGCGACCUUUCCAUAUGUUUAGAAUACAUGAGCAAUUUGCAUGCUUAGUGGAUAUGAUCUUCAUUUGAACAACUUCCAUACGUGGCUUUAAAUUUACCCGUCUCGCAACUAUUUUCAAUUGGUAGGAUUUGAAUGAGAGAUGAAAGCUUUUCUUUUCUUUUCUUAUCGAUUGAUGCGUGGCUGACAUUUCCUUCAUUGGUAUAAAUAAUUACCACCUUCUAAAUGAGUUUGGUCUUCUACAAGUAAGAAAUCGUGUAAUGGCUUGAUGACUUCUUGACCAAAUAGAAAAGUGAACGCAUGAUGACAUUAUAAAAUUGUACUGUAGGGUUUUGCCCUAAUCACUGUAUUCUCUUCCGUAGCUAGCCGCCCGCCCGUACUUCUUGUAAUUCUUUCUUCCUUCUUCUUUUUCUUUUUCUUUUUAUUUUUUUAUUUUACUGUAGGCCUCAGUCGUGAGUGAAGUUUGGUACGAAAAUAGGUCCAACCUUGUACCGCGAACUUGACAACGAAAUUGUGGAGGCAGGAUCAAUGCGAUGGUGCCAUGCAAUUGCGUUGUCGUAAUCCUCUCUAUUGUUUGAUUAUUGAUUUUACUAUCGCAUGCCUCCAUGCUUACUGACCCAUCCUUAUGCAUAGUGUAGUCGAUAUAUUUUUUUUCAGUUGCGGCUGAAGGGUCAUCUUUUCGGCAAGCACAGUUGAAGAAAACCCACGAGGUACGCACAGUUGAAGAAAACCUUCGAGAGACCAGAGCCUUGAGGUACUACUUUUGUUUUAGUUGAUUUUCUUAAUCCUUUGGCUUGUCCAUAUGCUUUCCGGAAGGAAACAAAGAUUGUCAAGAGUGACAACCCUCGUUUUUCAUGGUGGGUGAGCUUACUCUUUAAUCAACUUUGAUUGUCAUCUCAUUAUGCAAAGCGGCAAUUUUUUUUCUUCGCCAAGUUCGGCAGCAGCAUGGUACUAACUCUUUUUUCUAUUUUUCUUUUCAGAAUUUUGAUGGCAAAUUGAAGAACGCGAACACCUAACCGCUUGGUUUCUUUUACGUCUUGGACGUGAGAUAAACCGUUGAAAGUGUUUAGGCUUUACGUACCCUGACAGUAAUUGAAGAACAAGAACACCUAACCGCUUGAUUUAUUCCACGUUUAAGAUGUGGGAUAAAUUGCUUAAAGUGUUUAGGUUUUGCGUAGACGUAUACUAUUCCGCAUGGUGUUCUCCAAGAGUUUCAAGAAGGACACAAACAUCAUCUUUGAAGAUAUCGAGGAUAUUGAAAGUGAUGGCACCACCUCUCAUCUAAGCUCGCUCAUCUCUAACAACUUCUCGCUCAUCCUUGAUUUAACUAAUAACUUUGAGAUCAUGGGUUCAAACCUCACAGACAUAUGUAAGGUGCGUGAGUUAUUUAAUAAAAGUUUUUUUUUUUUAAAGAGCUCGCUCAUCAUGAUUUCACCUCUGUGAGCUUCGAGAAAUUUUUAAAUGCUACGGGAGGACCAUGUGGCAGUCUAACGUGGUCCUACGAUCCAAUCAAAUUUAGACAUGUGGAUUUUUUACAACUAAAAUAUAAACAAAUAUUUUCUAUUUUUUGUGAAAUGACAUUCAUGGGUAUUUAGCAAGUUCAAAUUAGGGUCUAGGGUAUAGGGUUUAAAGUUUAGGGUUAGAGUUUAGGGUAUAGGGUUUAGGGUUUAGGGUUUAGGGUUUGGGGUUUAGGGUUUAGGGCUUAGGGUUUAGUAUUAAAAAAACAACAAAAAAUCUAAAAUGGUCUUUGACAAAAUAGCUGAAAUAAUUUUUCGUAAAGAAAAUCUACAUGUCUAAAUUUGAUUGGAAAGAAGGCCCACGUCAGACUGCCACGUGGUCCUCCCGUAGCACUGAAAAAUUUCUCAUGAGCUUCAUUGACGUUUCUUCAACGUGGUGGUUGAUUCAAUUAUUUAAUUUACCAUAAUUAAAUUAAUAAUUAAAUUCAGUUUAUCUCUUUAAACUUUAAGUCGAAAAUUAGUUUGAUCCCUGAUUUUUUUUUUUUAUUUCACGUCAGUCUAUAUACUUUCACAAUUACAUCACUGUAGUCUAAAAUUUGAAUUUGGCGCUGAACAUGACUCUGUUGAUGUAGACCCGACAACAUGGCCCCAUUUUUAAGAUAUUAAAUUUUAAUUUGAACAUAAUGUCCAAACUACCCUUAUCUUCUUUUUUAGGAGAACAAAAAAUUAAUGUUGGGUGGGCUGGGUUUGAAGCCUAGACCUUAUCUUUUUUUUUUUUAAUCACGUCUGACUCUGCUGAUGUAGACCCGACAGCAUGGCCUCACUUUUAAGAUAUUAAAUUUUAAUUUGAACAUAAUGUCCAAACUACCCUUAUCUUCUUUUUUUAGGAGAACAAAAAAUUAAUGUUGGGUGGGCAGAGUUCGAAGCCUAGAGCUUGCUGUCAAAUACUAUGCUCCAAACCACUGGAGUAACUAUUGCUCAUAUACCUUUUAGUACAUCUAUAUUUAUUAGUACGAAAAAAUGAAAGGAAAAUAAUAAAUAAUAAAACUAUUUGUGAUUGUGUUCCUACCAUUCACGCCCAGACCUUUACUCCAUGCCUUCACUGAAGGUCAUAAUCCCAGAAUUUUUUUUUCUUUCAGUUUGUUUAUCCUCCUCUUCUUUUUCUUCUUUUUCCUUCAAAUCAAACUAUCAAAGAAAUCACGCUGCAAAUUCCGACCGGGAGGAUGAAGGGUGAGACGGCUUCUUCGUCGUCGGGGAAGCUAAGGAGCUUAAGGAUUGUUUCUGACGAUUCUUGAGCUUGGCAGAAGAGGGGUUUGAUAGGAAAUUCGGCAUCGAUGCGAUGGCGGAACUUCUCUGCUUUUGAGGAGCUUUGUGGCUGGAUUGGUGGGGUGGGGGGGGGGGGGGGGGGGGGAUUUGGGGGUUUGGGGUUUUCAAUGAAUUGGCUUGGUGGUCGACGGCGAUUCGGAGGUUGAAAUUGAUGGGGUGGCAUCCUCGAGGCUGCGUUCGAGGCCGGGAUCAGAGGGGUGAGGCGGAGGGACUAGGUCGUGGUCGCCUAAAGUUUAUUUUAUUUUAUUUUUUUUCCCUAGUCUCUUUAUUUCAAAAUGUCUGUUUUGUCCUUCUUAUGGGUCAUCCUGUCUGGUCCACAUCAGCAGAUGAUGUCAUGUUCGGAGUCAAAUUCAAAAUUUUAGACCACAUUGAUAUAAUUGUGAAAGUACAAGAACUGACGUGAUAAAAAAAAAUCAAGACCAAACUGAUUUUCGAACAAAAAAUUUGAGGGAGUAAACUGAAUUUAAUCCUUAAAUCAAUCAGUCUUAAUUAAUCGAUUUAAUUAUGACCGAUAAAGUAUUUCACUAAUUUGAUUAAAUUCCGACUUCAUUUUUAAUAAUCGAUUUGAUUUGAUUGAUGUCUGAUUAUCGAUUAAUGUUUAAUAUUUGAUUUUAAUUAGGAUUGAUGAUUUUGUUGUCGACCGACCAUUCACACGCCGCCACGUGACAUUUUCGAAGACUUUUCAACUUUACUGACUCACGAGCCACGUAUGCAAUUUGUCAGACCCCUGAGUUGUAUGAAUAAUUUCCGAAGACUUUUCGAUAAUCGAUUUGAUUUGAUUGAUAUCUGAUUAUUGAUUGACAUUUAAUAUUUGAUUUUAGUCGGGAUUGAUGAUUUUAUUGUCGACCGACCAUUCACACGCCGUCACGUGUCAUUUCCGAAAACUUUUCAACUUUGCUGACUCACGAGCCACAUAUGCAAUUUUUCGGGCCCCUGGGUUGUAUGAAUAAUUUAAUUGCUUCAGUUCUAUAUAUACCGCGUCCCACAUGUUUCAUCAAGUGUCAGAUAAUACAGAACCUACUUCGCCAAAAUGAAGAAAAUUGAGGUCAGUAUAAAUUCCAAACACACCAUCAAACCAUCAUCUUCCUCUACACCACUACAGCCUUACAAGCUUACCCUCCUGGACCAGCUCACUCCUCCAACGUAUGUCCCUAUGGUAUUCUUCUACCCCAUUACUGACCAUGUCUUCAAUCUUCCUCAAACCCUAGCAGACUUAAGACAAGCCCUUUCCGAGACUCUCACUUUGUACUAUCCACUCUCUGGAAGGGUCAAAAACAACCUAUACAUCGAUGAUUUUGAAGAGGGUAUCCCAUACCUUGAGGCUCGAGUGAAUUGUGACAUGACUGAUUUUCUAAGGCUUCGGAAAAUCGAGUGCCUAAAUGAGUUUGUUCCAAUAAAAACAUUUAGUAUGGAAGCAAUAUCUGAUGAGCGUUACCCCUUGCUUGGAGUUCAAGUCAACAUUUUGGACUCUGGAAUAGCAAUCGGUGUCUUCAUCUCUCACAAGCUCAUCGAUGGAAGAACGGCAUACUGUUUUCUCAAGUCCUGGGGUGCUGUUUUUCGAGGGUGUCGUGAAGAUGUCAUACAUCCUAGUCUCUCUGAAGCAGCAUUGCUUUUCCCACCGAGAGAUGACUUGCCUGAAAAGUAUGCCGGUCAGAUGGAAGGGUUAUGGUUUGCCGGAAAGAAUGUUGCUACAAGGAGAUUUGUAUUUGGUGCGAAAGUCAUAUCUUCAAUUCAAGAUGAAGCGAAGAGCGAGUCCGUGCCCAAGCCAUCACGAGUUCAGGCCGUCACUGGUUUUCUCUGGAAACAUCUAAUCGCUGCUUCUCGGGCACUAACAUCAGGUAAAAUCAGUUUAUCAACAAGCCAAAUAAUAAAGCCUAAUGUAUUUGGGGUACUUAUUUAUAUAUUUUUAUUACGUAUAUCUAGUGUACUGUGUACAUAGCUCAAAGAAUGAGAAAAUAUAUGAACUUGCAGGUACUACUUCAACAAAACUUUCUAUAGCAGCCCAGGCAGUGAACAUAAGAUCACGGAUGAACAUGGAGACGGUGUUGGAUAAUGCCACUGGAAACUUGAUGUGGUGGGCACCGGCCAUACUACAGCCAAGUCAUACAACACCAGAGAUUAGUGAUCUUAAGCUGUGUGACUUGGUUAACUUGCUCAAUGGAUCUGUCAAACAAUGUAACGGUGAUUACUUUGAGACUUUCAAGGGUAAAGAGGGAUAUGGAAGAAUGUGUGAGUAUCUAGAUUUUCAGAGGACUAUGAGUUCUAUGGAACCAGCACCAGAGAUUUAUUUAUUCUCGAGCUGGACUAAUUUUUUCAAUGCACUUGAUUUUGGAUGGGGGAGGACAUCAUGGAUUGGAGUUACGGGAAAAAUUGAAUCUGCAUUUUGCAAUUCCACAAUGUUGGUUCCAACACAAUGCGAUAAUGGAAUUGAAGCAUGGGUGAAUCUAGAAGAAGAGAAAAUGGCUAUGCUAGAACAAGAUCCCCAGUUUCUAGCGGUAGCAUCUCCAAACCCCCCAAUUUCAAGGUGUUGAUUAAAAAAGAUUAUGUGGCUCGUGCAAUGUUUCGAUUUUGUAGUGAAUAAGGUUUAAAUUAGUUCACCAGCCAAUCAAUAAGAUGCAAGUAUGAUAGACUCUGUCUACGUAUGUUAUCCGAAUGUGUUUUCGAUAUGCUUGUAACCAAUAUAGCUCUUGUUUGUAAUAAUGCUCUGUUAAGCUUCUAUCUAUAAAGUUAUUUCUCUUGAUUAAAGAAAAAACUAUACAAGUUUUGUUAAGCUUUAUUCUAUUUUUAAGAUAGGAUGUAUGUAGUACCUAUAAAGAUGGUUCACCUAUUAUUAUUUUCAAAUACAUGAUUAUCCGGUACAAUUACGUAGAAUAUUUCUAUAGCUAAAAAAAUGUAAUUUUGAUCCGUGACAACAUGAUUAAAAAAUUACAUAUUCUGAUACAUUUGUUCUCUAACGACAAGCAUGGCCAUAAUGCCUCACCUGAUCAUCUAUGUGAUGGGGUAGUGUCCUUUCUUUUUAAGAGAAGGUAGGCACCUAAUGUGAAGGCCUCUACGAGAGACUAAUAUUGUCUGAUCUUCUUUUGUUCAUCAAAUUAAAGAAACGAAAAUGGCCACAAUGCCUCACUAUUGAUAGAAGAUAGAACCAUACAAUAAUUUGGAACAUAUGCAUGGAGACAAGGAAAUAUAACACAAUAAAACCAUUAUAAUUUCACUUUAUGUGGGAAACUUGGCCAAAACCGAAUCACAUCCACGUUGGCAACAAAAAGUGACUGGAAAAAAAGAGCCCCCAAAAAGCUAAAACACUAUAAAAACCAGAAAACUUGAAUAAGCGAAAAACCAAAAGUAUGACAUUUACACACACACUCUAUCUCUCUCUCAAAGUCUGAAAACUUGCGCAAUAAGGUACCUAGCUCUCUGGUCUUUUCUUUCUAAUGCAUAUAAGUCCCUGUAAAUUUUAUGGCUUUUGGAAUGAUGAUUUUAUGCUUGUGGAUCUCAGAUGGGUUUGUUUUGUUUUGGGAUUUUUAUAAAUGAAUCCAUUGAAAAUGUUGAAAGCUUAUGCCUUUGUUCCUUGGUUCACUGUUCUGGUUUUGUAAAUUGUGUGUACGAGAGUUGAAAUGUUGGUUUUGGUAAAGAGAAAUGUUCUAUAACCAUGUAAGUUAUCUUCUAAAGUUGUUCGAGUACUGCAUAGGAAAUAACGACCUAAACUGCUAGAUGCUCUGAGAAACUUAAUUAUCCGAUUCGUUGUGAUAAAUUAAUAGAACCAUCAAUAGCCGUGAUAGUCCCUUAAUAUUUGGUGGCUAAUUAGCAAUGCAUUCAUGGUAGUUGCAUGUGCUUAUUUUGUGCAGUAUUCUAAUUCUAUCACUUGCAAAAUCGUUGUGGAAGGUCAAGAGGAGAAAACUGAAAAUGGGGCAGCAUGCAUCUCAUUUUAUUUUUUUAUGCAAUAGAGCCCUAUAUAUAAAAUAAAUAAUGUAUCUAUAACCUUCUCUAAUUAAUUUACUUAGUAAUUGACGCAAUUUGGCCGAACUGUUUCUAAACACACUAAGCUUCAGUUCUAUAUAUACCACGUACCACAUGUAUGAAUUCAUCAAGUGUCUGAUAAUACUAAACCUACUUCGACAAAAUGGAGAAAAUUGAGGUCAGUAUAAUUUCCAAACACACCAUCAAACCAUCAGCUUCCACUCCACGACUUCAGCCUUACAAGCUUACCCUCCUGGACCAGCUCACUCCUGCAAUGUAUGUCCCCAUGGUAUUCUUCUACCCCAUUACUGAUCCUGUCUUCAAUCUUCCUCAAACCCUAGCUGACUUAAGACAAGCCCUUUCCGAGACUCUCACUUUGUACUAUCCACUCUCUGGAAGGGUAAAAAACAACCUAUACAUCGAUGAUUUUGAAGAGGGUGUCCCAUACCUUGAGGCUCGAGUGAAUUGUGACAUAACUGAUUUCCUAAUGCUUCGGAAAAUCGAGUGCCUAAAUGAGUUUGUUCCAAUAAAAACAUUUAGUAUGGAAGCAAUAUCUGAUGAGCGUUACCCUUUGCUUGGAGUUCAAGUCAACAUUUUCGACUCUGGAAUAGCAAUCGGUGUCUCCGGCUCUCACAAGCUCAUUGAUGGAAGAACGGCAGACUGUUUUCUCAAGUCCUGGGGUGCUGUUUUUCGAGGGUGUCGUGAAGAUAUCAUACAUCCUUGUCUCUCUGAAGCAGCAUUGCUUUUCCCACCGAGAGAUGACCUGCCUGAAAAGUAUAUAGCUUUGAUGGAAGGGUUACGGUUUGCCGGAAAAAAAGUUUCUACGAGGAGAUUCGUAUUUGAUGCGAAAACCAUAUCUGCAAUUCAAGAUGAAGCGAAGAGCGAGUCCGUGCCCAAGCCAUCACGAGUUCAGGCCGUCACUGGUUUUCUCUGGAAACAUCUAAUCGUUGCUUCUCGGGCACUAACAUCAGGUAAAAUUAGUUUAUCAACAAGCCAAAUAAUAAAGCCUAAUGUAUUUGGGGUACUUAUUUAUAUAUUUUUAUUACGUAUAGCUAGUGUACUGUGUACAUAGCUCAAAGAAUGAGAAAAUAUAUGAACUUGCAGGUACUACUUCAACAAAACUUUCUAUAGCAGCCCAGGCAGUGAACAUAAGAUCACGGAUGAACAUGGAGACGGUGUUGGAUAAUGCCACUGGAAACUUGAUGUGGUGGGCACCGGCCAUACUAGAGCUAAGUCAUACAACACCAGAGAUUAGUGAUCUUAAGCUGUGUGACUUGGUUAACUUGCUCAAUGGAUCUGUCAAACAAUGUAACGAUGAUUACUUUGAGACUUUCAAGGGUAAAGAGGGAUAUGAAAGCAUGUGUGAGUAUCUAGAUUUUCAGAGGAUUAUGAGUUCUAUAGAACCAACACCAGAGAUUUAUACAUUCUCGAGCUGGACCAGUUUUUUCAACCAACUUGAUUUUGGAUGGGGGAGGUCAUCUUGGAUUGGAGUUACAGGAAAAAUUGAAUCUGCAUAUUGCAAUUCCACAGUGUUGGUUCCAACACAAUGCGAUACUGGAAUUGAAGCGUGGGUAAGUCUAGAAGAAGAGAAAAUGGCUACGCUAAAACAAGAUCCCCAGUUUCUAGCGGCAGCAUCUCCAAACCCCCCAGUUUCAAGGUGUUGAUUAAAAAAGAUUAUGUGGCUCGUGCAAUGUUUCUAUUUUGCAGUGAAUAAGGUUUAAAUUAGUUCACCCGUCGAUCAAUAAGAUGCAAGUAUGAUAGAUAUGUUAUUCGAAUGUGUUUCGAUAUGGUUGUAACCAAUUAAUAUAGCUCUUGUUUGUAACAAUGCUCUAUUAAGCUUCUAUCUAUAAAGUUAUUUCUCUAUUAAAAAAAAAACUAUGGAAGUGUUACCAAGCUUUGUUCUGUUUCAAAGGUAAGAUGCAUAUACUACCCGAAAAUAAUGUUCACCUAUCAUAAUUCUUCCACAUGAAAACCCGGUAAGAAUCACAUAAAAUAUUUCUAAUACUUUAGAAUCUAAUUUGGGUUUGUGACAACAUAAUUGAAGAGGUACAUAUUCUGAUACAUUCGUUAUUUAACGACAAGCAUGUACAUAAUACCUAACCUAGGAGGAGGGUGUACGUAGUGUUCUCUCUCCUUAAGAAGGCCUGCCUUUCGCGAAGGCCUCUUUCAAAGGACUGAUAUAAUAUAAUCUUCUUCUUUUUUUAAUCAAAAGAAACGAAAAUGGCUUCAUUGUUCAUAAUUUGGAAUAUAUGGUGGAUUGUACGGUGUUGUUUUGAGGGAGCUUCUCUCUCGGGUCAAGGGUUUCCAAUGGAUUUGUGCAAUGAGAUUUGAUUGGCAACAGUUAUUCGGGCAUCAACGCUCCAAUUUAGCACUCCUCAGUCCUCACUACCUCAUUGUUGUUGACGAUGGCGAUGACGACAUUAGCGAGCAUGGGUGAUGUGUGUGGCAUAUUUGUUUGUAUUGUUGCAUUAUUGCUUUCGGAUGUAAGGGCUUCGCCCUAUAGAUUAGCGAGCAAUUGGUCUCCUCUCAUUCUUUCUACCUUGAUCGAGUUGGAGAUCCAUGCACUUUAUUUGUAGUACUUUUUUUGGCCUCGCGUUUGCAAGCUUUGAAAUUCCCGUGAUUAAGGAAUUAUUCAUUUUUUACAAAAAAAAAGAAGAAGAUUUUUUCCUGAAAAAUAACACAACAACCAUCAUAAUUUCACUUUAUGUGGGAAAUUUAGCCAAAUCCGAAUCACAUCCACGUCGGCAACAGAGAGUGACUUGAAAGAAGUGCACCCAGAAAGCUAAAAAACCAUAAAAACUAGAAAACUUGAAUAAGGAAAAACUAAAGUAUGACAUUCCAAUCUAUUGUUUUAUGGUUUUUGAAGGAUUCAAAUUUGUCAACCACUUUUUACUUGACCACCUUAAUGACCACUAUCUAGAUUGGUGAUACGUGUCUUUUCAAAUUAUUUUACUUUAUUGUUUUAUUGUUGAUAAAAAAAAUAAACAUGUGUCACCAAUCUAAAUAGUGGUCAUUGAGAUGAUCAAGUAAAAGUGGUUGACAAAUUUGAAUCCAUUUCUUAUUGCGGUUUUGUUCUGCCAAAUCCAAAUCCCAUGACCCAAUCAUUUACACUCCCUCUCAAUCUCUGCAAAACUGACUGCUUCCCUUGAAAACGUGCGCAAUAAGGUACCUAGCUCUCUGCCCUUUUCCUUGUAAUGCAUUCAAGUCCCUGUAAAUUUUGUGGUUUUUGGUAAUGAUUUUAUGCUUGUGGAUCUCAAAUGGGUUUGGGUUUGUUUUGUUUUGGGAUUUUUAUAAAUGAAUGCAUUGGAAAUGUUAAAGCUUAUGCGUUUGUUCCAUGAUUCAGUGUUCUGCAAUUUGUGCCUUCUCUUCCGGAUCUGAUGUACGUGAUGUUCUAGCUAGUUGUCUUUUGGAUUGAAAAGAUAUUAUCUUUUGAUUGUUUUUGAUAGAACAUCAACAUCAAUCAUCAAUGAGAUGAAUCUGAAGUAGGUUAUUAGUUUGGAGAUAUGUUAAUGGUUAAUGAAUCAAGCUGAAGUUGUUCUGGUUAUUGGAGCAAUAGGUUCCAUACUGAAGCAUCUAAUUUUGAAUUUGCAAAGAGUGGUUGACGAGUUAUCCUUGGGAUUGGCGGGUGACAUUGAAAAAGUCUUGGUUUUGUGUAUAAGAGUUGAAAUGUGAUUUCUUUACUGUUACCAUGAUGUGGGUUCUACUAAAAGACUCGUUCUUGAAUCUGGGGUCAUGUCCUGUGAUGACUCAAUUCUUGCAAAACACAACUGAGAUGUGUCAAAAUGGGUUCGGGAGCGUCUUUAUAUAUCGAAGUAUCAUGAGUUUCGAUACUAAGUGAGGGUGCUGGAUAGAAUUGAGUUUGGAGGUUCAAUGCUUCAAAAACAAAGAAGCUAGAGGGAACGUAAUUCUUGAUGAUUCAAGACGGAUCAAUGACCUUGUAAUUAAGUUGCUUAUGUGCAAUUGUUGAGCUUAUGGUGUUUCCAGUUUGGAUACGGAUAGCUAUUUCUGUUUUCAGUAUAACCACCAUGUGUUGCAUCCUCUUACUCUUCAUCUUCAUUUACCUAUCUUUGAUCUGAUGUUCCAUUGGCAGAGCUCCCUUAUGCUAAACUGUAAAACCUGCAUUCCAGGUGGUCAUUCUGUUAGAACUUUGGAAGGUCUCGGAAAGGAAACACUCGUCGACAAAUUUUGGGAGCAGUUGCAUAAAAGGAAUGGUCUCCCAACUCGGAGAUAAUGGAGACGCGUACUGGAAAUUCCCGUCCCAAUAAAAAGCAAUCGUCGGAGAAGUCUAAAUCUGCCACUGAAGAGAAAAGGCCUGCAGAAAAGAAGCAAACACUUCUGUGUUUGUCAACUAUGGUAAGUUCAUUAGAUAGUAAGUACUGAGUUUUCUAACAUCGGUGUAACACCAUGCAACUAACUCAGUACUGUAGAAUAGACAUCUAUGUUAGUCUCUUUAGAUAAUAUGCACACUUUAACUUUUCAAAUGACGUCCUGCAUUAGUUAGUCAACUGUUCAAAAUCUCGUAGGUUACAAUUUUCCCAUCUCCAAAACCAAGUGUCCAUAAUCUUUUUCCCUCUUUGUUCACUAAACUAGUAAACUCCUCGUUUAGAUUAAUGUUCUAAAUCUUUUAGUUUUUGUUCCAUCUUGACAUAACUUGUGGCUCAUUACCUACGUUGCAUGGAAUCGGAAGCGGAAACGUGGAAGCGAAGCGUUUGGAAGCGCGGAAGCGAUUUUUUUGAAAAUAAUUUGGAAGCGAAAGCGUUUUAGAAAUGUGAGAAUCAAAAUAAUAUAUACAAAUAACAAAUAUAUAUCACCUAAUUUUAAUUUCAUUCAUUUAUUUUAAUCGUUAAUUUUAAUAAGUUGUACAAAUUAGUUUGAUUGUUUAGCAGAUAACAACUCAUUCUUAAAAAAAAAAGAUAUCACUAAACCUUAUAAAAAUAAACUUCUUCACUAAAAAAAAGUCCACCAUGAAAUAUUGAAAGCACACGUCUCUCUAAUCUCUACACCUUUUAAUCUUCUUUCUUCACCUCUCUAUGCUCUCUCACCCUCCAGGUUGCCGUCAUCUUCUUUAACUUCAUUCUCUCUCACUCCUCUCCCUCCCUCCAGUUUCAAAUCCUUUCUUAACAGGUCCUCAAGCAGAAGAUCUGAUUGAUUAUAGAUUUCGAAAGAGAUAGAGAGAAGAUUGAUGUGCCGCUGAAUCAGUUCUCGUGCAGUGGACCAUCGCGCUUCCAAAUCAAAAUCGUGAGCUUCCAUAUUGGAAGCAUGCGCUUCCGUCGUGCUUCCAAAACCCUCUUUUCCCGGAAUCACGAUUCCGGGCGCUUCCGAGCGCUUCCACGGCGUUUCCGCUUCGCUUCCGCUUCGGAAGCGGGCGAGUGGCCCGGCGCUUCCGUGCUUCCUAGCUCAUUACUGCCCUGUAAACCAACUACGGCCGAGUUGUACCAAAAGGAAAUUCGGCCUCUCAUCAAUGAGUAAAGGUUUUUUUUUUUUUUUUCUUCCUUUUGUGGGGGAAGAAGAAGUAUGCAAUAAUUUUGGAAGUAACAUAUCCCCUAUCACCAUUCCUUGCAACAAGCAAUUACUUCUGGCAUUUUGUGGUUGAUGUUGAUCAUUUUGUAACUUUUGUUCUUUCAUGAUAAUAAAGCUAAUUUCUCAUGUAGCUGCAAUUGCUUGGCAUGAGAGUAGAAGAAAGUGGAUAGGGGAUCAGCGGCUGCAAAGAAUGGCCAAGGAUCCAAUUAUAAGGUAUUUUUUCCUCACAAAGGUUCCUGGAUAGAAUGGGGUUAGCAAGUCAUGGUUAAAGAGUUGCACCUUAAAGUUUAAUAACAAAAGAAAAGUUGGAGAGCAUAACUGCCAUAACUUAUAUUCUUUGUAGGUACAAAUGAACUCAUUAACACUGGUGUGUCAGUUUUUAGGAAAUUACACUUAUAUUUGAGUAUCUGUCACUCUGUCCACUACUUGCACCCUGACUUGCUGAUCUGUAAAUCCUAGAUUUUUCAAAAUUGCUCCUUUAGUCCUUUUGUUUGGUGUGUGUCCAUAUUAGUAGCUUUGUCCAUUUAUGCUGUUAAAUUGUAGCUGCUAUAUGAAUGUCAGGAAGUUAAAUGUGAAAACUAUAUGCUGCAUAUUAUAGCACCAUUGUAAUGAUUGAUGAUAUUAGUGUCUUUGUCCAAUUAUUUUCUGUUCAAUUAUUGCUACUUCUUGAAGAUAAUGUGGAAAGUUUAUGUUUCAGCUGGUCAACAGCCUAUGAGGAUCUACUCUCAACCAAUGAGUGUUUUUCUGAGCCGAUCCCCUUAACUGUAAGUCGAUCAUAUAAUAGCACAUACCUGUCCAAUAAAUAUCUUCUGAUAAGUCAUAUAUCUCUAUUACUUGUGUUUAUUUGACAUUGGAAAUAUUUUCUAAAGUUUGAUGUUUUUAUAAAAUUGGUUUUAAGCAUGUUUUCAUACUGGAGCUCCACUUUAUGUUUUCAAAAGUCAUGGGUAGUUUUCUUGAGCAGCGAGGACGAAAACUCAUCCCUACAACAGUUUGUGGAUGCAUGUAUUGUGCACUGGGACAAGAUAAUGGCGAGGAGUUGGGUGUGCAUGUUUGUGAUCGGUAAUUUAUUUUCUAUGCUUACAUGUUUAUUUUUAGACUCAAGUUACAUGUUUAAAUUGUAUUCUGUUGGCCUUGUUAUAAUCUCAUCCGUGAUUCUAUUAAUGAAGCUUGUUAAUUACUGGCCAUUCCUUAUAUCAAGUUUUAUACGAACAUAAGAGUCUAAUCCUGAUAUGAUUUUGUCUUGUGAGACUCUCAUUGCAAUUUGUAUUCUUUUGAGUUCAUUAUUUCUUAACGUUUAUUGUGUUAGGUUUUAGACGAAUGACUUUACCUUAAGCAAAUUAAAUAUUUUUCUUUUACAUACACCUCAAAUAGUUUUACGCUUCCGUGGUGUUUGCUUAAAUGAUUUCUUAAAUAAACUGUCUUGCGUUUCUCUUGGUUUUUAUUUUAGAGACAUGCGGCACUGUGACGUGUCUAAACUAAGGAGGCGUAGUUUGGGGCGUUACAGAUUUAAUCUUUACACACUAUGAGAAUAUCAAAAUAUCACGAUAUUUGUGCAAAACUCACGAAAUCUUGUUAUUAAAUCAGCCGAAGUCAUCAUAUAUAGUCAUUAACUCGGGCCAAACUUAUAAAAUUAACACUAAAGUCUUGGCGCAGCUAACAUGAUUUGAACCCAGGUUGCCACAUGUUUGUAACAUCCUGAAAUUUCAAAUUUUUAUUUUUAAAAGGAAAGUUAUUUUUAUUUCGAUUUCUAUUAUUCUUUUAAAUUCUUUAUAGUUUUUGAAAAUUAUUCAAAUUUUGUUUUUGGAGCCCAUCGGAUUAAACUAGAGGCCGUGAUGAAUUUGUGGGAUUUUUCGGAACACCGUUUGGAUAUCGGAUAUAUUUUUAAUGAUUUUUAGAAGUUGGUAUUAUCUAAAAAUUUAAUUAAAAAUAGAAAAUCAAGGUCGGUCAAAUUUGGUCCGUCCAGAUUAUAUGGGUAUGGAUCAACUUGGACUUCAUUAUACCCAGUCCCAGACCGACUCCGUCUCCAGCCUCUAUCAGCGACGGAGACCUCCGGUCACUCCUCCGUUGUCCGGCCGUCUCCCGCCGCAAAACGACUGUCUACAGCUCUGUCUCGACGUCCCCGACCUCCCUGGGAUUCCAGCUUGAUGAGUGGAGCUCCGGAAAAGGAGGAGAGAAGGCGACUGUGUUUCCGAUCGGGUUUCCGAUUCCGGUGACGGCGGCGAGCGUGAAUGGUACUGGAAGCAUCCUCUCGUCCUCGUGGUCUUCCCUAUGUCCUCAGUUUCUUCAGAAGAGGUCGGGAGAGAGAGAUUCGAAGUGGAGAAGGAGAGGCUGGGUUCGCCGGCGAGUUUCCGAUUCCGGCCAAGUCGAGGUUUCUCACUGGUAUGAAUAGCUUCAUGUCGGUCUCGGGAACCUUUCCAUGUUGGUGGUUUUCGAAGAGAAGCUCGGAGGAGGGAGAAUCGAAGAGGAGAAGUUUCUGAAUUUUCCGGCGAGGGUUCGACGGAUUCCGGUGAAGCUUGAUGUCGACUCAGGUAUUAAAGUUGGUCUAUUCGAUGAGCUUUACAUGUUUCUAUAAUUGAAAUUGAGAUUGGUUGGGUGUUGGAGAAGUGGGAUUUUGGACAGGUUGUCGACCACCGUGUACGGCGGCGGCGGCGGUUGUUCUUGUAGUUUCUGGCUUUUGUUAAUACAUUGAUUGUGGAGGAGUGUUUUGAGAUGUAUUAGAAUUGCAGGAACAUGAGAAUUGUAUGAAGUUGGGUUUUGAGCAGUGUGGUGUGUGGCCACUGUUCACGGCGGCUAUGGUGGUGUUUUGAAAUCAGAAGACUUGUGUGAGGGAGAGGUUGAAGAUGUGUAUUAUGUUUGGUAUGAGUGUUCAUUCAAUUGGCUUUGGUAUUUGAGAGCAGGGUGCUACGAAUAUCUUGGUUUUGUGAUCAAAGUUGAAGUAAAGCAUAUAUGUUUGUAUGGUUGUGAGAUAUGGUGGUAACUGCAGCAAUGGAUAGUUGAUCAAGGUUCACAUGAUCUUGGAACAAAUGUCCAGUCGAUAACUUUAAGAUGUAAUUGGUAUUGCUAUGCUUGAACAAUUGUGUUUCGGUGGAUUGAAGAUUUGCCGGAAGGUGUGUAGUAAGAUGGGUGUCCAAAGUAAUUGAUGGAGACUGGUGUGUUCUCUUUUGAAUUAUUGUUAGAGAAAGAUGAUUAGAGGAGUUGGGUGUAAUGAACGUUAAGUUGGCUUUGCUGGGUUGUUGUGGAGUCUUAAGAGCAGUAUGGGUACGGGAACAGAAGAAUUGGAUUUUCAUUACUUUCAUAUGGAUUUGAUGUGUUGCUGGGGAGUAGGAAACAGUAAAGGAUUUAGGUUUGGUCAUGUCUGGGUUCGUUGAUAAGUUGUUAUGCCUACAAUUAAGACAUGAGAAGAUUGAUCAAGUUUGAGAUAGGCAAAUAUAAAGGAUUUAGUAGAAAAGAGGAAUUGGGUGUAGAGAGUAAAUUCGGUGCUUAGCUUGGUGCUUGGAGCAUGGUUGGGAUACGACUAAUUAUGGGUGGCGUGUGAUUUGGUAAUUGUCGGAAAAGGUGAGCGGAAUUGGAAAUAAAGAUUUUGAUCGUUUCUAAUUAAAGUGUUUGCCGACUUUAUUGGAACAAGGAUUUGAUGUGAGGGAGCAUGUUGCAAUCCGAGGAGCAGAAUGAUAAGGAUUUCAAAAUGCGUGCCGCGGUGUUAUUAAUUUUAGUAAGCGUCGGAGUCAAGGCUUGGAUUCCAGGUAGGGUCUCUCUCAGGGAACUUUUCUUUAAAUUGAUAAUUAGGUUAUUGUUGAAAUCGGUGCAUUGUGUGGCAUUGGUUGAUAUAACUCUUGGUUGUUAUCGAUUUUGUUAAAAGCAUGUGAUAUCGUUGAUUUAUAUGAAAUUAAUGUUAUUGCUUUCCGUAAAAGCAUGAGUUGAAUGUUAUGAUAUGAGUAUUGAUAUUCAAUUGACAUGCAUAAUGCAUUGUGAGGAAUUGUGAGAAGUGAGAUUGGUGAUUCUGGAGAUGAGAAAGAGAUUGAUAGAAUAGAUACAUUUUGUGUAGUUGAGUUUCCUCAUGGGUUGUCCAAGAUCCAGGGUAGUCCACACGUGCAUAAGUUCAGGGAAUGUAUGCCAUUUCGAUGGCGGACAUCGACAAAACAAUUUUAUCGGGUUUCGGGUUUGGAGACCAUGAGUAUAACAAGAUGAUUAACAAUAGAGGUACAAGCCAUAAGAUAUUACUGAUUAUUAGAUCAUAUAUUUGAGACAUUUGUGUCACCCCCGGUUGGUAAAAUACACGGUAUGGGACGUGUAGGCUCACAUAUCUUUGAUGUAUGGACUGAUAGCCAGUAAUUGAGGAAGACAUUCAUUAGCAUACAUGUAUCAAAUUGUCGUUAUUUAUUUAAAGUAUUAUUUGAUGUUUGAUAACUUGUUUGUGCGAUGUAGUUAAUUAUAACUUAAAAAGGUUUGGCUCUUUGGCCCUACUAAGCGUAAGCUCACCCCUAUAAACUUUUGUUCAGGUACGUUUGAGGACACGUUUUUCUAGAAGCGUAACUGUGAAGUUUAGCUGACGUGUACGAGAGUAGAAGAGUUACAGAAGAUUAGAAGUCAGAUAGAUCGUAAGGGCUUAUCUUUUUGUCUUUGUAAUUGUUUUUUGUUAUUGUAAACGUUUUAUUUUCUUUUAUUUCUGGAAAAGUAUUUGAAAUUGUUUUAUUUUCUUUUACUUUUCCCGCUCAUGUCUCGGGUACGGCGUCAGGUGCUUGGAAACCACCGACACCGGGUCCGGGGUUUGAUGUAUGGACUAGCCAGUAAUUGAGGAAGACAUUCAUUAGCAUACAUGUAUCAAAUUGUCGUUAUUUAUUUAAAGUAUUAUUUGAUGUUUGAUCACUUGUUUGUGCGAUGUAGUUAAGUAUAACCUAAAAAGGUUUGGCUCUACUGAGUGUAAGCUCAUCCCUAUAGAUUUUUGUUUAGGUACGUUUGAGGAUACGUAUUUCUAGAAGCGUAACUGUGAAGUUUAGCUGACGUGUACGAGAGUAAAAGAGUUACGGAAGAUUAGAAGUCAGAUAGAUUGUAAGGGCUCAUCUUUUUGUCUUUGUAAUUGUUUUUUGUUAUUGUAAACGUUUUAUUUUCUUUUAUUUCUGGAAAAGUAUUUGAAAUUGUUUUAUUUUCUUUUAUUUUUUCCGCUCACGUCUUGGGUACGGCAUCAGGUGCUUGGAAAUCACCGACACCGGAUCCGGGGUGUGACAAUGGUAUAUCUCACAUUCUCAACCAAUCCUCCUAAGGUGAUACUUGAUUACUACAUUGAACAUUUUAUUAUAAACUCUACAUAUAUUUUCAUACUUUUAAAAUUUCUUUUCGAAAUUUUAUUAAUAUUGAUAUUUUCUAAUAUUUUUAUCAAAAUAUCUAUUUUUCAGAUAGUCAAAAUUUUCUUGAAACGUGAUAUUUUUGUAAUAUAUCGAAAUUUCAAAUUUUUAUUUUUAAAAGAAAAAUUAUUUCCGAGCUAUUUUUAUUUCGAUUUCUAUUAUUUCUUUCAAUUCUUUGUAGCUUUCGAAAAUUAUUUCAAUUUUUAGUUUGUCAAAAUUUAUCUUUUGAGUCCAUAGGAUUAACGGAAGCGUUUUCGGACAUCGGAGCUAUUUUUAAUAAUUUUUAGAAGUUAAUAUCGUCUAAAAAAAAAAUAUUUUUAAACCCGCUUGAUCUGGACCGUUGGAUCAUUUAAACCGCAAGAUCUGGGCUGGGGGAGACUGGAUCAGAUCAGUUCAGACCCAGACUGGGUCAGCCUCGAUCCAAAUAGCAGCGACGGGUGACCGGACUGCCGCUUUGUCCUCCAGCGACGGCGUGGGGAAAUCAUGGCAGCUUCGGCUUCGUCUCGGUCGCCUGAUCCUAUCUGUGGUCUCGAUUUCGUCGAUGGAGCUUCGAUGAGAGAGAAUCGAAGAAGGGUAGCUUUUUCUGGGUUUGUCGACGAGUUUACUAUUUCAGCCACGGCGGCGAGCAUGAUCGGUCUUGGUAGCUUCACCUCGACCUGUUGAACAUUUCUUUGAAGAGAAGGUCGGAGGAGGGAGAAUCGAAGAGAAGAAGUUUUUAGGUUUUAGGCAGUGUUCUUGGUGUUUUCCGGCGACCUCGGACUUCAAUUCAGGUAUCAAAGUUGGUCGACUCGUCAAGCCCUACAUCUCUAUAUAAUUGGUUUUCAUUUUUGAUUAAGUUUUGAAGAAUCGAAGUUUUGGGGUUUUACUGUGCAAUUUGAGUUUUCCUGUUUGUGUGGUGAUUUUGGUUGCCUUGGGGCGUUCUUCGAUUGGAAUUGACUUUAUGAAGUUGAUUUGAUGAUCUUAAGCCCUUGAAUUACAUAAUUGGAAAAGUUGGGUUUUGGGGCAGUGUUGUUCGGCGAUGGAAGUGGUGGUUGAUGGUUCUGGGUUUGGUUUAUGUUUUAGAUGAAAUUACAAGAGCAUUAGAACUUAAUUAUGUUGUUGUGUCGCCUGGAUUCCAUAAACGGAGAAGUUGAGUGUAAGAAAAUUAGAGUUAUGCAAUUUGGAAUUGAGCUAAGAUUGGAGUAGAUGAUAGUAUCGGGUUUUCUGCUGAUUUUGGUUUAUUGUUUGUGGUGGUGACUGCAGUAUUCUUGUUCCAUUUCCAAUCAUAUGAAAGUGCAGGAACAUGAAUUUGGAUGCUUGAUUGGUAAAAGAUGAGUUUUGGGUGGUAGGAAAUGGAGCUGUGUUAUUGGAAUAGGGAGGGGAAGAUGGUUGUGUAUAGUACUAAUACUGAACUUGGCGGAGUUGAAGGAUGCAACUAAGAACUGUUGAUUUGCGAUAUGGAACUAGGAGCUUGAUUUCAAAUGGAGAAAGUGAGUAUUGGCAAGUGCAGGAGUAGGACAACUUGAGAAGUAUAAAUUGGCUAAAGAGCUUAUGGGUGUCCUUAUCAAUUUCAAAGACUGGAUUGCAUCGACUUGAAAUCAUCAGAGUGAAUAAAUGCGGAUUAAGGAACUCAUCUGGGUGUCUUAGUAGAUUUAUGAAUUCGGUCCGGUUGACUUAAAGUGACUUAAAUUUGGCUUAAAGUGAGUUUUGCGGAUUAAGGAUUCAGGGUGUCCUUAGUAAUUUUAAGAACAUGAUCAAUUUUGGAAAUUGAUUUAGUUUAUUUGAGGUUCGACGGCUUUCUCGGUAAGGAAUUGUGACGAGGAUCGAGUGACUAUCGACUUUUUCAGAAGCAGAAGGAUAAAGAUUUCAGAAUGCGUGUCGCUGAGUUAUUAGUUUUAAUUAGCGUCAGAACUAGCGCUCGGAUUUCAGGUAUGGUCUUUCUUGGGGAACCUUUUUUUAAAUUGAUAAUUAGAUUGUUAUUGAAAUUGGUGAAUUGUUUGUCAUUGAGUGAUUAACUCUUGGAUGUUACUGCUUUCUAUAAAAGCAUGUGUAAUCGUUGAGUUAUAUGAUUGUUAUUAUCGCUUUUCUUAAAAAGUAUGUGUUGGAUGAUAUAAUAUGAGUAUUGUUAUUCGUUGCAUACAUAAUGCAUUUUGAAGAAUUAUGAGAUUAGUGAGAUUGGUGAUUAUGGAGAGGUGAGAACGAGAUCAAAAUAUACAUUUUGUACAGUUGAGUUUCCUUAUGGGUUGUCCAUAAAUCUAUGUCAUCCCACUUGCGCAAAUGAGUGGGCAAAGUAUACUCCUUCGAUGGCGGACAUCAAUAAAACGAUCUUUCGGGUUUCGGUUUUGGAGAGUAUGAGUAUAACAAGAUGACUAACAAAAGAGGUACAGGUGAUGAGAUAUUACUGAUUGUUAGAUCAUAUAUUCGAGACAUCUGAGUCACCCAUGGUUGGUAAAAUACACUGUAUGAGACGUGUAACUGAGGAAGACAUUCAUUAGCAUAUAUGCAUCUAAUUAUCGUUAUAUAUUUAAAGUAUUGUUUGAUACUUGAUAACUUGAUUGUGUGACGACAUAGUUAAAUGUAACUAAAGAGGUUUGGCCCUACUAAGCGUGAGCUCAUCCCUAUAUACUCUUAUUCAGGUUCAUACAAGGACACAUAUUUGUAGAAGACUAACUGUGACGUUUAGUUGACGUGAACGAGAGUCGAGAAGGACUACCGAAGUUUCUAGUGAGCUAAACAACAAGACUAGUUUUACCUUUAUAGUGAGCUAGACUGCAAGACUUGUUUUGUCUUUAUAAUCGGUUUUGUUUUUUGUAAUCGUUUUAUUUUCGACUAUUUCGAGAAAAAUAUUUAAAAUUAUUUUAUUUUCUUUUAUUUUUCCCGCUCACGCCUCGGAUUCGGUGUUAAGUGUUUGGAAACCACCGACACCGGGUCAGGGGUGUGACAAUUUUAGUCCUUGGUUUGAUGCCUAAGCUACUUCGCUCCUCCAAACUGGGCCGGUGUUGGAUCAAACAAACAGAAACUUGAAAGAAGGAGUCCGAUACAAGUCAUACAACUACGUUGGUCGGAGCGGAUUUUACGCAUCAAGGUGCCCUUGCACCAUUAAUCUGUAAGUUUUUAAAUCUUCGUAUGCAAAGAUUUAAUGAAGACUAGAGACCUUAAAUUCUUUUCUUUCAUUUUUAUUUUUGACCUGAUCAAAUUAAACGCCAAUAAUUAGAGUACCUCUUAUUCAAUCUCAUGUCCUCAUCUCUUGUGUUGAAAACACUUUUGAUUAUUUUUUUGAGUUUUAAUUUUGUUAAUGGUAUUAAAAUACAUGCAUGAUAAUGCGACAUAGAUGAUCGGAUCAAAACAUUGCGUAUUAAUUGCUCGAUUCACUUGUAGAAGAAUUUUCGAGCUUCGGGCCAAUAUUCCAUUUUUCUUUUUAAUAAAAAAUUCUAGCAGCUAGACAGCUAGUUAACCAAUUGUGAAGCUACACAACUGGGACUUGCAGCGGAAAACAACUACCACGCGUUGCAUGGAGAGGUUAGGUCCUGCAUGCAACUCCGCCGCCCGUAAAUCUCCUACUGACAGCUCUACCCCUCGAUUUGCAGAUACUGAUGUAAAACCCGAGGACAAAACGGUAAUCGUUGAUACUCCGAGCCAGACAUAAAACUAUCCAAGAACAAAGAGGAGACACCACAGGAAAAAUGACCGGACCGCCUCUACCUCGACCCUUUCUAACGUGCUUGGUUGGUGUAGCAGUCUUAACCUGCGCACUAACCUUCUGUGUUGCCCUAGAUGUCACCCCCCAAGACCCAAUCAUCCACCAAGUCACAGACCAUGAUACUAACAAGCUCCUUGGAACCGAGAAAGAGUUCAAGAGUUUCAUGGAGAAGUAUGAGAAGAAGUACCCUACUAGGAAGGAGUACAUGCACCGGCUAGUUGUUUUUUCCAAGAACAUGAUCAGAUCCGCCGAGCACCAAGCUCUGGAUCCGACGGCGGUUCACGGCGUCACGCCGUUCUCGGAUCUGGAGGAGGAGGAGUUCGAGAGGAUGUACACCAUUCCUCGAAAAGUUAAAGUAAUCUUUUUUAGAAAUCGAAUGGAUUCGGUCUUAUACAUACGCAAGGAAGGUAAUAAAAAAAAAGAAAGAUGAGUUCUUUUAUCACUUAGGAGCUGUGCGAGAUAAAAGUCUCAUGCACGGUUUUGAAUGAGAGAAAGAAGUGAGGAAUCCUUUUUUCGACACUGACUCUCCCACUCCAGUUGUUGCUUUUUUUUUCUUUUUUUUCUGUUACUUCAAAAGUCGUUGCUUCAGUUUCAGCCACUCGAAUUUUCGAUGUUCUUUUUUAUUUCUCAUCAAACGAAUGGCAUUUUCUUCCUAUUACUCAAACAAGCAUGAAACGUAUGCUUGCGUAUUCGUCCAUAGGUCAAAUUGGAUAUGUAAUUAUUGGAAUAAUUGUUGGAGACUCAAAUGGUGGAUAUGUAAGCAUGAUAACUUAUAUGUUGUUCUAUAUCUCUAUGAAUCUAGGAACUUUUGUUUGCAUUAUAUCAUUUGGUUAGAGGUGCGCCCGGCUUAACCAACGGCGGAGGCGGUACGGGGAGCACGGUUGAGCUUCUGGAUGUUAGCGGGUUGCCUGAGAGUUUUGAUUGGAGAGAGAAAAAGGAGCUGUUACUGAGGUCAAGAUGCAGGUAGUUUCUAAUUUUCGUUUUAUUUCUGAUUUUUUAGGUUGGACACACAAUAUAUGUGAUUAACAGUUUCGGCCGUACUUAAAUCCUAGCUUUUUGCAAAUCAAGUUAUGGCACAUACGAUAUAGAAGUCUCGUAGCUGGUUGUAAAUUACUAAAUUGUGUAAUCUGAAGUCGAUCAGCUGAUCAGGUGCUGCUGGUUCUUUUGUUUAAUUGAUUGUAUAACUAGCUUGACUUUGAGAGUUUGAAGUUUUGUACAGAAAGAUUUGUCUAAUAGAGCUAGGGUGUUUGUGGAACAUGGAAUUAUUCUUCAGGCAAGGAGUUGUAUUGUGAUACUUAAAGCCUCUAAAUCUCUUGUUAUGGAUGCAGGGUGGCUGUGGGUCGUGCUGGACCUUUAGCACAACGGGAGCUAUUGAAGGAGCCAAUUUCAUUGCCACUGGGAAGCUUGUUAGUCUCAGUGAACAGCAGCUUGUUGACUGUGAUCACCAGGUAAUUAAGCCUAGCCUCUCUGGAAUAUAUUGAAGUACUCAUUUAACUUUAGGGCGAUAAAAAUUUAAUUGAUUGAGCAUAUAUAUAAUAUUUGGCAUGCCUACUUAAUUAGUUUCGUUUAAUGUUUGUGGCAACUAUAAUCAAGUGUGAUGCAAAAGAGAAAGAUGCAUGUGAUCGUGGUUGUGGUGGCGGACUUAUGACAAAUGCCUACAAGUAUCUAAUGGAAGCAGGAGGGUUGCAAGACGAGGUUUCAUACCCUUAUACGGGGAAAAAGGGCGAAUGCAAAUUUAAUCCUGAAAAAGUAGCCGUGAGAGUAACCAAUUUCACCACUAUUCCCCUUGAUGAGAAUCAGAUUGCAGCGAACUUGGUCCACAAUGGUCCUCUUGCCAGUGAGUACUAAACCUGAUAAUAUGCUUAAAAAUAGCUAGGCUUUUUAUGUAUCUAUGUGUGCGUACAUAGAACUGCCUUAAGUGUCUUAUUUUCUGAAUAUGAUGUGCACUGUUUAGCAUAUUUAGAUCUGAGUGUAGAUACACCCCACUGAUACAGAAUCUUAAUUGAUGUAUGUAUGCGCAGUUGGCUUGAAUGCUAUGUUCAUGCAAACCUACAUUGGCGGUGUGUCAUGCCCUCUUGUUUGUUUCAAGAAAUGGGUGAACCACGGUGGUUCACUUGUUGGAUAUGGUGAGAGUGGCUUCUCGAUUCUCAGGCUCAGCAACAAGCCGUAUUGGAUCAUCAAGAAUUCAUGGAGCGCAAAAUGGGGAGAACAUGGUUAUUACCGACUUUGCCGAGGCCAUGGCAUGUGUGGGAUGAAUACCAUGGUGUCUGCAGUUGUGACCAGUACGCGGGCAUCCUAGCUGCAUCUCCCGAGAUUAGCUAGUAUAUAAUUAUACACUAUAAUAUUAUAUGCACCUCUCCCUUGUUUUUUCUUAAUCCGAAUUUGAUGUUCCUAUAAUCAUAUUUCAACAAUAUUAUUGUUAAUAUGCCGAAGUGGAAAGUCUUGUUUACGUCAAAACCAAUUCGAACUAUAUUUUGUUAGCUUUAAAUGCUAGAUUGUCAGACUUCAAAUUUAAGUCGGAAAAAUUUUACAAUAUGUUAAUGCAUGUUAUGCAUCAAUUUUAUCCUAAAAUUGUAAAAUGAGUCUCUAAAGUAGUAAUAUUAGUCCUUGAAGUUGUAAUAUAUACGAGUAGUUGUAAAUUUUAAAGUUACAACAUUAGUUAUCAUGUGUCCUUAAAGUAAAUUUUACAGUUACAACAUUAGUCAUUGUGUCUUUAAAGUGAUAAAAUGCGUGCUUAAAGUGGUAAUUGAAUCCUCAAAGUGAUUGAAAAAGUUUUUAUAUCUUUGAGGAUUUGUAUUACAACUUUGAGGAUUUGUAUUACAACUUUGAGGACUCAGUUACCUCUUUAAGGACACAUAAGGAUUAAUAUUGUAACUAAUUUUUUUACAACUUUAAAGACUUAUAUUACAACUUUAAGGACUAGCUAAUAUUACUACCGUAAGACUCGAUCAUUUUAUAACUUAAGAGCAAAGUUGAUACAUCACAUGCAUUUUUUUUUUAUUGGUUAAUGAUCGAGGAUAGGCGAAUAAUCACCUAUCACUCUAUGUUAUUAAUAAAAGAAAAAAGAAACAAAGGAGGGGGAUCAAAACCAAAACAUCCUAAAACAAAUGACAGACUAGCUGAAACGAAAUUGAGGCAUACCUCUAACAUCGUUAUUAUAAGACAAUAAUAUGAAAGGUGGAGGCUCAUCCCACCAUAUCAAUUCAGAGCAUGACGUACCUUGAUUUGCCAGAGCAUCAGCUAUCUUAUUCCCUUCACGAAAAAUAUGAGUAGCCUUGAAAUUCAUUUUAGAGAUUCGGUAUAAGCAAUUCAACCAACGAACUCGAAGAGGCCAAGGAACAAGAGAAGGUCUGCGAAUAUAAUCAAGUACCAAAGAUGAGUCAACUUCCAACCAAAUAUGCUUCCAAUCACGAACCCAAGCAAGCUCAAUAGCUUUAAUAACAGCCAUUAUCUCCGUUGAAAUUGAACUAGGAAUUUCAAGAUUAGAGGCAAAAAGCACCUAGAAAGUGGCCCUUGUAAUCUCUAAAAAUAGCACCAUAACCACCCACUCCCUCUUCAUGCUUCCAAGAGCCAUCAGAAUUUAUCUUCACCCACCCAAGAGAAGGAGGAAUCCAAUUAACUUCAACCACUCUAGGAGUGGCACGAGGUCGACAUGGGGCUCCAAAACAUUUCAAAAUUCGUAGCUCCUGGACACUGUUAUGCAUAUGACCCGUUGUAAGAUGACUAGUGGCUCUUAUAUGACUUGAUAUUAGCUUGCAAACAACUUCAACUGAAAAGCGACAACCAUCAAAUCUGGUUUUAUUUCUCACAUGCCAAACAAACCACAAAAUGGAGGUAAAGCAAAUAAGCCAUAAUUCCAUUAAUUGAGGACUUCUUCCAUUCUGCAAACCCAACCCAUAAAGCUCCAAAAUAGAAGAAGGAAUCAUACCUAACUCAAAAAUAGAGCCAAAGUGACAGAAGAGACGCCAACGGCACCAACACCCAAAGCCAAAGGUAAAGUGUUCGUCAAAGGACUCCACAAUUCCAAGAAUGCUUUCCAUGUGCUCGUGCAAUAAUGGUAAGGAUAUCGAGAGACGCCAACGGCACCAAAUAUUCCAGCUUGAUUCAAUACGCCUUCAAAAUUGGCUAAUAUGAAUUCUGUCCACUCCAUUACGCCUAUCUCAAGUGUAGCACAACCCCGGAAACAAAGGCUCGAAGACCAAUCUUGUUUGGUGUUUAGCAUCCUGUGAAGUAUCGGGUAAAAAUUCUCUUCGAAAGUGAAAAGACCUCCAUCAUGUCUGUUAUCAACCUUCUCCAAAGUAUGCCCCUUAAAUACAUGGGAAAAGUUGUGGGUUGUUCUUAUCACUUGAUCCUCCAAAUCUUGGCGAAAUGUAAGAAAGCCUGAGUUCAUUUCAACUUCUGUCACCAAGGUAAUGAUGUCUUUAGGAGGGACAUCAACAUGAAUGGAGCUUAAAGGCUGUGAUCUCACGUACUCUAUGCCCUUUCCAACAACCUGCCUGUGUUUGUCCAAAGCUGCCUCGCGGGAAAUUCGACCAUAUGCAUCCAUUACCUGAGAUUAUAGCACGCAGAGAUGUUAAAAGCAAGCAAUAGCAAGUCAAGCUUUGCGCGAGAAAAGCAAGUUCCACGUACAAAGCUUGAGGGGGCACUGUUGAUACCAAAAAAAAAGGAUUACAGAAAAGGAAAAAAAUAAAUAAAAUAAAUAAAUGGAAGAGUAUUUAUUCAUGUCAUACUCUUCCGUUGGUUUUGAUUACACGCACAAAGCUUUUGAGUUCAAUUACAACUCUUGCAAGCAGGUGCUUGGAUAAGAACAAAUCAGUACGAGCACCAGAGUUUGAUUGUAACUCAAUUAUCCUAACCAAGCACUCUAUAUAAAGAGGCCAAUACCUUCAAAAAAAAAAAAAAAANAANNNNNNNNNNNNNNNNNNNNAACACCAACGGGAGGAGGCAGGCGGGCAACAAGGAGGAUCACAAAGGAGCGGUUCAUUCUUUACAAGGUUCGGAUGGAGAGUUCUCUUUCUCUUUGCGCAGCUCUCUUUAUGUUCUGUUGAUGGAGGCAUCACUGCCUUCAUAUUCCUCGCAGAUGGCCUCUGGUGUUCUUGGUUACUAUUGUUCCUGGUCACCCAAAUCCCUUGCGGAUCGAUCUGGUUAUUAUAGUUACUGUGUUCUGUUGGUUACUUGGUUACUACUGUGUUCUCUUGGUUACUUGGUUACUCAAAUCCCUUGUGGAUCGUUCCUGGUUACUCGUUACUUGGUUACACAAAUCCCUUGCGGAUCGUUCCUGGUUACUUGUUACCCUAAACAUUGGUUACUGGAUACUAUGGUUACUGGAGACUAAUGGCUACUAUGGCAAUGGUUCUAUGUUACAAUGGUUAUAUGACACUAUGGUUACUAUGAUUCUGGUUCUAUGGCUACUGUAGCACUAUGGUUACAAUAUGGUUCUGGUUCUUUGGGUACUUUGACACUGGUUACUAUAACAGAUCGGUUGCCCUUUGAUCCUACAAAACCAAACACAAAACCAAUACUCAAAAUUCCACCACAAAAGGCCAUUGUUGUCCCUGUUCCCUGUUAACCACCACAGCCAAAUACCUUUCCAAAUUCCAUGUUUCAAGCACCAACUCAAAUACUGUGCAAUGAAACUAAAAGAGACAAUAACAGAGGCUUACCCUCAAACUAUGACAAUCGAUCUAUUCCGAUACUACAACUACUACCUGUGUUUCAUACCUUCAUGCUGUAGCAGGAAUGGUGAUGAUAUUGCAAAAAGAGAACAGCAAGUUCCUGUCAAGUUAACCUCACAAAAACAUCCGAGCAAAGAGAGUCAUUGAUUCUUUGGCUCUGUCCCUUUAAAAAAAACAAAGGGGGCUCGGUGAGUUUUCUCAUGAUUCUUCUCCAAUAUCACAAGAUGACAAGAAUCAAGCUUGGCGGUGACCCUCCCAAACAGAGAAGGCUUACUCAAACAUAAAUAUGCAUUCACCACCAUGGAGUAAAACAAAAGAAGCAAACUUAAUUAAACAAGUUUUGUUUCUGGAAGUUCCAAGGCAGCGAGCCGAAUACACCCACAGUCAAAUAAAUUGGAGCUAAGAAGUUUAGAGUCUCAAAGCAAAAGACGUGUUCUUCCUCAAAUUAAAGCCUGCAAAUUGAAGCCUGCAGCAAAAUUAACCUACUCGAAGCUAAGCUCAUCCAUUCGACGCUAAGCUAAUCUACUCGAAGUUAAGGAAGCGAAGGAUAAUUAAUUUUGCCAUUGAAGAAUUGUAACAAAGCACCUAUCCAACACAAGGCAGUAACCAAAUUGAACGCUACCUGUGAAGAAACAAGCUUUUGACCAGUGGGAAAUCCUUCGAAAUUACUCUGAAGCAUAAUGGAGAUACUUUCGUCAUGAGGGUAUUUGAAUUGUAGGGAUGAAAGCAGGAACACAAUAGGGGUUAUCCUUACCCAAUUUCGCACAGUGAGAAAGAGCACAGCAAAUCUCAAGCCUCCCAGUGUUGAUAAAUUUCUUCUCGGCGACUUAGGAGCACUGCCAUCACCAAGUCGGUUGCUGCGCCAACCCCUCUCCAUUUGAUCAGUUUCGGCCUUCAAGUUCUUCUGGGUUACAAUAAACAAGGCAGCAGAAGAUCAAAAGAAAGAAAAGAAAUGAAGAAUGGGGAGAGGGAAAGCUAACGGGCCUCCACAUUGACGGAUGCUACUCACAAGCAAGGCCCAUGUCAAAUUUGGGCCCAUCUGAAAAGUUCAACGAGGCUCAAUAUAUGGGUGUUCAAAUCAAAAUACCCAAACUUCGGUUUCGUUUAAAAAUUCUUCGGAACCCGAAUGAAGUUGCGUUUGGUACAAAACCAAGAAAUACUCAAAUACCCAAAUUUUUGAACUACAAUGGUUUGAUCCCUUCACAGGGUAUGUAGGCAGUCCAGAUUUAAAUCUGGAUAUAACCACAUUUAAAGCCAAAUCGUUGGUUCUUUCCAAGCCAAAUUCUAAAACACAUAACCAAACCUUUCGACAAGUCAUCUACUUCGUCGAAACCCCAAAAGCCAUAAAACUUGAACUACGAGUGACUUGAUCCCUUAUGGGGUACGUAGGCAGCCUGUAAAACAAAUCGGGUGCAGUCGCAAUUCCCCUCGAACACACAUUCCCCAUUUGUUACUUUGUAAUUAGAAUCAAAGGGUCUUCCCCCGAAAGCAAGGGUUGUAAUUAAGAAAUUUAUUUUAUUUCGAAUGGGUCGAACCAGACAUAAUUAAAACUCUAUUUUAAUCAAUGAGAUAGAGUGAAAUUGUGUUGGGUAUAUUUAUUUACAAUUUUUGCUCAACAUAGUUUUUGGCGACUUCACUGGGGACUCUCAACUGGUCAUCAGACAAAUAAAUGACGAGUAUGCAGUCAAAAAUGAGAACCUUAUAUCAUACUACCAAAGAGUUAAAUAUCUCCUGGGACAAUUUCGAGAGAUAUAUGUUGGCCACAUUCCAAGAUCAGAGAAUGAUAAAGCAGACGCAUUGGCUAACUUGGCAGCUUCUUUAGUACUUCCUGAAGAGAAAGACAUCCAAAUAACAGUUGGAGAACGUCGAUUGCAGUCCUACGUCACUUGAACGAAUGGAAGCUACCAAUGAAACAAAUGUAGUUUCUGUGUUCGAAACUGAGGAAGAAUCUGAUUGGCUCAAAUUGAUGCAGUGAACGAGCAAGAGAGGAAAGUAUGAUUCAAAGUCUCCGAGCAAACACCACAAAGCUCACAUCUAGAAACCCAAGGAAUACCUCGACGCUGAAGUAAAACAUCAGAAAUAACUCUACCUCUUAACACCUUCCAUGCUAGGAAAGACAUUCUUGGCAGAAUAUAUUUAGCCCAUAAUCUCUUACCCCAAAUUACUGGAUUAGAAGAAUGCCGCAUAAAAGUAUAGGCUUGUUUUGCGGUUAACUCAUCGGAGGCUGAAGAGGUCCAUAUAAGUUUGUCAUUAACUGAAGGAUCUUCUGACACAGGGACUUGAUUGAUCAUACCACAUAAGGCUGGGUAGUGCAACUGUAGUAAUGGAGGAAGAUUCCAUGAACCAUUGUCUAUAUAUUUUGACACCAAAUCCGAGUUAUCCUGCAUCAACACAUUAGAACCAAAGAACUCAUUUAUUGGCCUACCCAUAAACUUGUCGCGCCAAAAGUAAAUUCCAUUCCCAGAACCAAUGAACCAUUGAGAAUUAUCUUGAACAGUCUUCCAGAAUUGACGAACACCAGGCCAUAUAGAAGAAGGAGCAUAAGAUUUCCGUCUAGAGAAACGAUUGCGAAUAAAAGCACAACCCUCAGAUUGAGCUGUAUAGAUUUCCCAGCAACGUUUCAAUAAGAGAGAUCGAUUAAGCAGAACUAGUUGUUUGAGCCCCAAGCCACCUUCUGCAAUUGGGGAACAACAAGACUUCCAAGCCACAAGAGGGAUCCCUCUUUUAUCAAUUGAGCCAGACCACAGAAAGUUUCGGCACCAUACCUCAAUUUUUCGCACCACAGACACAGGCCAUUCAUAUACUUGAAAAAUGUAUACCAACAUGCUAAAAAUAACAGACUUGAUAAGCUGCAAACGUCCUGCCAUUGACAAAAAAGAACUCACCCAACUCGAUAACUUUAUCCUUAUUUUGUCAACAAUCUGAUGGAAAUAAGAAGCACGAGGUUUGCCAUGAAAAAUAAGGGCACCCAGAUACAUGAAUGGAGCAGACCCCAAGGGAAUACCCAAGAAGUUCGAAAUAGAAUGCCGCCUUGAAUGUAUACUAUUUCCAAUAAAAACCUGAGACUUCCCUUUGUUGAUAACUUGACCUGAAACUCUACCAUACUCAUCGAAGAACCGCAUAAUCCGCGAUAAAUUCCGCCUAUUGCCCCGAAAAAAAACAAUAACAUCAUCUGCAAAUAGGACAUGAGAUGGAGCAAGAGUAUUUCGUGGAGAAGAGAUACGCUGCAGUUGUCCCGAUGAAACAAGUAAAGAGAUCCCACGACUAAGGACUUCUUCUGCUAAGCAAAAGAGCAAGGGAGAAAGAGGGUCACCUUGACGCACACCCCUUUCACAAGAAAAAUACCCCACAGUCCUCCCAUUAAUCAACAGAGAAAGCUUGGCUGACAGAAGCAAGGCACGCACCCAUUGUACAAAGAUCGGAUCAAACCCAAAAGCCUGAAGAACAUGAAGAAGAAAAUCCCAUGACAGAGUAUCAAACGCCUUUGUAAUAUCAACCUUAAUUGCAAGGUUACCCCCCAUGACAUUUUGAGUUCAACAAAUUAAAGCACUCUGAAGUAGUUAAUAUACAGUCUGAUAUGUUCCUCCCUGCAACAAAAGCAUGCUGUUGAGGAGAAAUAAUACGAGAUGCCACUGAUGCCAACCGGAUAGCUAUGAUCUUUGGGAUAAUUUUAAACACAAAGUUGGUGAGGGCAAUAGGCGAAACUGCUUUAUGGAGUCGGCAUGAUCAACUUUGGGGAUUAAGAUGAUAAUACCUGAGUUAAAGGAAGGAGCCAAAUAACCAUGUUGAAAAAAUACUGAACAGCCUUAACAACAUCAGCACCAACAACAUCCCAGCAAGAGACGAAAAAAUGGCCAUUAAAUCCAUCUGGCCCCGGGGCACUAUCAGGAUCCAUUGAUUUGACAGCUGCCCAAAUUUCCUCUGAUAAUGGAACACUAGUAAGCAUCGUAUUUUCCUCAGGAGUUACCAUAGAGUGAAUCACUUUGGACACCAAGCCACUAUCUUCAUACUCUGCAUGUUUAGUAAAAAGAUUUUUGUAAUAAUCAACUAUAUGAUUUUGGAUAUAAUGAGGAUCCUGAAGCACCUGAUCUCCAUCACGAAGCAGAGUAAUAGAAGAACGAUUUCGGCGCACUUUACACAAAGCAUGAAAAUAAGAAGAAUUACGAUCACCUUCUGAUAACCAUCGCAACCUUGACUUCUCACGCCAAAGAAUUUCCUGAUGCAGAAUAGACUCAUUCAAAAUGGCCUGCAAUUCAGUCUCUUUUUCAAACUCUUCAUCUGAUCCCCCAGAAGCUGCAAUUUUAUUUUGAAUAUCAGCAAGGGCUGCAAGGUCAAACUCAACCCGACGGUGAACAUCCCCAAAGACCUCCCAGUUCCAAGUACGGAGAGAUUUCCUUAAGGUACGCAGCUUAUAUUGCAGGACAGAAUAAGGACAACCAAACGAAGUAGUAGAGGACCAACAUCCUUUGACAAAACUCAUAAAAUCCUUAUGCUCCAACCACAUUUUUCUAAACCGAAAGAGACUAAAACGAGACCCUGUAAACUUAGAAAAGGACAUUAGUAGUGGAUUAUGAUCAGAGCAAGUUCUGGGUAAGGUGCAACAGUCAAACUGAUCCCAUUCCUCCAUCCAAUUCAAAUUAGCAAGACUUCUAUCUAAUCUUAGCUCCACAUUACCACGAAAACCACGCCGUCUCACCCAUGUAAACUCUGCCUCUUUAGUAUCUACAUGAAUAAGUUCACAAACAUCUGACAUUGUCUGAAAUUCCUCACAUGAUCGCCGACAUAGAGGAGCACCUCCUUUCUUUUCAUGAGCACCAAGAACUGCGUUAAAAUCUCCAAAAACCAACCAUGGUCCUGUAACAAAACGACCUUUGAAAUCAGUAAUAUCUUCCCAUAACUUCCGGUGGCCAGAGAUUGUGGUACGAGCGUAGACAGCUGUAAGAAAACAGUUUACCGAAUCAAACAUAACUUGUAAAGAAACCUGCUGAUCCGAGGUAGACAACACCCGAAUCCAUGGAGCCAGAGAAGUCUUACAAAAAACCCAUAGAUUAGGUAAUGCAGAACCCCGGUCAUUUGCACCAACAAAUCGCAUGCCUAACGAACGCCAAAAGAAUAGAGGAAUUGAAGUCAAGGCAACGAAAGGCUCAGCUAUACAUAAAACUUCCAGGUUGUGAACCCGUACAAACUGUUUCAAAGCAUCUUGAGUGGGGACAUUAGCAAUGCCCCGUAUGUUCCAAUAAAGAACCCUCAUUUAGGAGUGUCUUUGGAGCGACGGAGAUAGGCUUCCCUAUUCUCCUUCGAAGCAGCCUUCCUCUUUUGAGACCUGGACAUAACAACAGUAAAACCAUCAUCAAUGUCAACUCGUUCUGUCUCCUCAUACCAGCUAUCAAUUCGAGUUACUGAAUUUGCAGCAACAGCAACCCCAAUGUCAGAAGACUGCUCAUGCAUACUACCACCGGCAGAGUCAUCUUCACUAUUCUGCUCGUUCUGAUCAAUUGCAUACCUAGUAUCAUCUUCUUGCUCAACCACAUUACCAUGGAUAGCUACUGGUACCAAAACCACAUUCACCCCCGGCUCAACCACUUCUUGGACAGGUGCCACCACUUCCACUAGCGGUUCCGGCACAACACUAGAUAUCACUAGUUGGCCGACCGGUGCUGGAGACUUCUGCACAAAGGAAGGACCCUCACCAAAAUCUUCCCUGGGGUUUGGAGUUGAAUCAAUAAUCAUGCUCUUACCUCGAUCUGCUGGAUUAGAUGGGUUUUUAGGCACAUACACUUUGGAGACUCGUUGCUGAUCACGGUUCCUGCGAGAUCGUCUACUACGCUUGCGCGAUCGACCUCUGCCUUUCUCAGUCUCAUUAUCCAUUGGAACCGGGUCAGAAGAUCUAUGCACAUACUUGCAAGCUGUGACAAGGUGCCCAACGUUGCCACAAUGAGCACAAAUAUGUGGAAGCUUCUCAUAAUCCACAGUCUGAACAAAAGACGAACCGCACUUACGCUUGACAACCAAUUCAUGCGGUGGAUCAACAGAGAGAUCAAUAUCAACCAAUAUUCUAGCAAAUAGGGUUCUAGGUUCCCAAAACUCAAGCCCUAGAUCCUAAAACCUCACCCACACCUGAGCAUUAGUAUUACGUUGAUUCGCUGGGGAGAAAUUUGGAACCCAUCGCAUGAAACGCAAGAAGCCAGGCUUGAGAGCAAUUGCACCCUUUACCCAGACUGUAGAGAGAUCCUCAUCCGUAGAGAAGCUAAACGUGAAAUAACCUUUUCCCAUGGGAAUAAUCUUCCAAGCCCCUAGACUUCCCCAAAGAAGAGAAAGCUUAUGAGACAGAUCUGAUGCAGAGUAGGGUUUAUCCCUCAAACCCAAUUGCACCCUUCCGAUUAACAUAUGUUUACAAUUAUCCAAACCCGAUUGAUAGCCCUCUUCUGAAAUAGUAACAGUUGUCUUGCCAUCUAAAAUCUCAGGAAUAGGUAGAUCAUCAAUUGGGAUGAAAGCUUGCGCCGCCGCCGCCGCAUAAGAUUUCGUCGGCUUCGCAGCCCCCUCGUCGAGAAAAGACCACGGGCAGAAGGGACGAUGCUGAACAGCCAUGACGUCGUGAAGCAAACGGAACUCGAAUUCAAGGAUUUACUGCAGGGAGGCUCCAGCACGGGGAAACCCUAGCAGAGCCAUCACCAACAUAAUGUAACUCGAUGCAUCACAUCCAUUAACACACUAUAGUCUUACCUUUUAAGUUGAGUCAAUGCAAGAGUUGCACUAUUUAGACCAUUUGGUUCUUCCGAAAAUAUGUAUUAUAUUUUUGAGAAUUUCAACGUCUGUAGUAGAGUCGACGAGGAUUUUAGAUUUGAUUUCGUCGAUGGCGUUGUCGAGCUAUUGCGUCAAUAGGAUGAUGAAGAGCAACCGGAAUCACCUCUCUUCUGACGCAAUUUGUUUUUCAAAGAUCUGGUCCGUUGCACUGGCCGGUCGAAGCCUUUUCAGUUCUCAAAACAGUUCAGAAACUACAGGUCUGAUAAUGAAAUGCAUAAAACAUUUAUAACUAUUGGUAAUUUAUAUCCUAGAGUUGUUCGAGUGUACUAACCACAGGAAAUAACGAUCUAGCUAGACUACCUUAUUUUCGUUAGGGCUGCUCUAAUUAGUCAACAUAUGCAGCUAGGUGAUGAUAAACUUACCCAAUUCGUUGUGAAAAUAAUUGAACCAUCAGUAGCCGUGAUAGUCCUUACGUACCUGCCCUUUCAUGAGCCUUAAUAUUUGGUGGCUUAUUAGCUACGCACUAAUGGUAGUUAAUUGUGCUUAUUUUGUGCAUGUGUGUUCUAAUACAAUUACCUACCUAGUUCUAAUUGUUCUAAUUCGUCGUGGAAUGUUUUCAGAGGAGAAAACUGAAUGGGGUAGCAUAGAGCCCUAUUACAAAAUAAUGUAUCUAUAACCUUCUCUAAUUUACAUAGUAAUUGACGCAAUUUGGCCGAACUGUUUCUGAACACACUGCUUCAGUUCUUUAUAAACCACGUACCAUAUGUAUGUAUUCAAGUGUCAGAUAUACUGAACCUACAUCGCCAAAAUGGAGAGAAUUCAGGUCAGUAUAAUUUCCAAACACACCGUCAAACCAUCAGCUUCCUCUUCACUACUUCGGGAUUGUCUAUGGUACAGCGCUGUAUGCCAUACAUCCUCUAACAGGACUUGUGUGCACGUGCCUUGCAGUGGGGGUGGGUGUUUUGUUUUGAAAUUUUUAGCCUUGAAAGCAGGCUGCAUAUCAUGCAGGGCUGCAGAUAGAAUUUUCCCUGAAUAUCACGCAUAUCAGCGCUGCAUGAUAUGUAUGAUUGUCUAUGGUACAACGCUGCAUAUCAUGCAGCGCUGCAUUAAAGCAGACUGCAUAUCAUGCAACGCUGCAGGAUAUGCAGCCUGCUUUCAAGGCUAAAAAUUUCAAAAUAAAACACCCCCACCUGCAAGGCACGUGCGACACAAGUCCUGUUAGAGGAUGUAUGGCAUACAACGCUGUACCAUAGACAAUCCCACUACCCUACUUCAGCCUUACAAGCUUACCCUGCUCGACCAGCUCACUCCUCCAUCGUAUGUCCCCAUGGUAUUCUUCUACCCCAUUACUGGCCCUGCAGUCUUCAAUCUUCAAACCCUAGCUGACUUAAGACAUGCCCUUUCCGAGACUCUCACUUUGUACUAUCCACUCUCUGGAAGGGUCAAAAACAACCUAUACAUCGAUGAUUUUGAAGCCGGUAUCCCAUACCUUGAGGCCCGAGUGAAAUGUGACAUGACUCAUUUUCUAAGGCUUCCAAAAAUCGAGUGCCUAAAUGAGUUUGUUCCAAUAAAACCAUAUAGUAUGGAAGCAAUAUCUGAU